CCCCCCCCCUAAAAAUUCCUUGAAACUUUGAGCUCUUCUACCAGAAUGAGGUGGAACUAGCAAGGGGCUUCUCCAGACCUUUUCUUCUUGAUUCUGUGCUAGUUUUACCCAGCUAGUCCCAGCAACAGAAUAGAAAGUGACAAAAUCCUCUCGGUCUCUCUGCCAGAAUGAGGUGGAACUAGCAAGGGGCUUCUCCAGACCUUUUCUUCUUGAUUCUGUGCUAGUUUUACCCAGCUAGUCCCAGCAACAGAAUAGAAAGUGACAAAAUCCUCUCGGUCUCUCUGCCUGCCUUCCUCCAUAUGAAAGAUUUUCAGAACAAAACAAAACAAAACAUAGAAUAUAUUAAAAGACACCAUACCUGUUGAACCAUGAACAGGGAAAAAUAACGCCUCACUAAUGGGGGCUUUCUAAAUGAAUAAUACACUUCUCCUCCCCCUGGAUAAAUUCAUUGAAAUGCUAACCUACCCUAUUUCUCUGCCCACAAAUGUGGUGAAGAGUUUUGAGGGGCCUUUUGCACAGAGCUCAGAUAAAAACAUACCAACGGCAAGAGGACCAGUACAAAUAAUAUUUGUAAAGGCCUUGAAGGACAAAAAGAUAUUCACUUGGUGGUGAGAAUAGGUGCCAGAUGAGCCCCACCCCCAGAAGAAGACAAGGCACUGAGGCCAUAAAGACCCCCCUCUUACAUCAGACAUAUCUAAGAAGUUGGGGUACCCAGAAGAGGGUCUCCAACAUGAUUUGGCUUAUCCUAAAUAACAGCUUUGCUCCUAGCAAGCAUGUCAAAUGAUACAUUAACCACAAAUAUAAAGGCAACCUACACAAAGACAGGAAGGCAAACUGUACACAGGGAUGGGGAGAAAUUUUAUUCUCUUUCCUAAUAAUAAUAAUAAUAAUAAUAAUAAUAAUAAUAAUUUAUACCCUGCCAAUCUGACUCUGGGCAGCUUCCAACAAAAGAUUAAAAUACAAUAAUUCAUCAAAUACUGUAUUAAAAAAUUCCCUAAACAGGACUACCUUCAGAUGUCUUCUAAAAGUCAGAUAGUUGUUUAUUUCUUUGAUAUCUGAUUGGAGGGCAUUCCACAGGGCGGGUGCCACUACCGAGAAGGCCCUCUCCCUGGUACCCUGUAACCUCACUUCUCACAGUGAGGGGACCACCAGAAGGCCCUCAGCGCUGGACCUCAGUGAAUCUACCUAUUUUGAACUUUUUGUAACAAUAUGUGAACCAAAUGCAGCCGUCUUUUGAAAUUCACUCUCCUCUGAAUUUUGCAAUGCAGUUCUGCAGCAAAGUAAUGUGUACAAAAUUGCAGAAAAAUAUUGAAUAAAAUGUGCAUAAAAAUGACUAUAACAGAAUACAAUAAUGGUUUGUGUUAGGGAUAAUUGCUUUGGGAAAACUGUAUAUUAGGAGAAAUCCACACUAAAGUCCUGGUGCAGAUAUGAGAAGAGCUGAAUUGAAGGGUGAGAAAAAGAGAAACAGAGAGAAAUUUAAAAUGAUGGAUUCAUCCAUCCCUAUGGACAUAUCAGUCCUCUAUACUUUCUGUGCCCGGAACCAAGGCUAGCAACACACACACAACGUAAAUGAAGAUUAAGCUAAGAAGCACAUUUUUGUUUGAUCUUCCUAUUAUGUUUUUUUUAACAAAUACAAUACAAUACAACAGAAUAAAGAGAACUAGCAAACAAUUGGGUCACAGAUUUAUAAAAGUGUAUCUGCCCAAUGCAAAAGCAUGGCACUUUUACCCCUGGCCCUUCGUAUUCGGUGGAAUUGCCUACAAUUUAGCCAGCCACAAUGUGGGGAAAAUAGGUAUUGGCAGAAUAAAUCCCUCCAGAUCUGUCCCAGUGUUGGUGGAUUCAACAAAGCUAUCGCAUUCUUUGUAAGUGAGUGGGUCUCUGUUUGUCCUUCAGCAAUGCUUACUGGACUCAUCAGCUUCUCUGGAAGGCCAGGUUCUACACUCCGUUGUAUCAUGCAUUUAAUGAGUGUUUCACCAGUGCUUAGCAAUGUCAUUCCAUGCCACCAAUAAGAGAAAACAUACAAAUUCUUUGGACCUGAUAUUUGGGUUAGAACCUUCAAACAUGCCUGACAAAGCCAAUCCAUCUGACAGCACAAUGUUUGUUGUUGUUUAGUCGUUUAGUCGUGUCCGACUCUUCGUGACCCCAUGGAGCAGAGCACGCCAGGCACCUCUGUUCUCCACUGCCUCCCGCAGUUUGGUCAAACUCAUGCUGGUAACCUCGAAAACACUAUCCAACCAUCUCGUCCUCUGUCGCCCCCUUCUCCUUGUGCCCUCCAUCUUUCCCAACAUCUGGGUCUUCUCCAGGGAGUCUUCUCUUCUCAUGAGGUGGCCAAAGUACUGGAGCCUCAGCUUCACGAUCUGUCCUUCCAGUGAGCACUCAGGGCUGAUUUCCUUAAGAAUGGAUAGGUUUGAUCUUCUUGCAGUCCAUGGGACUCUCAAGACUCUCAAGGGUAUAUGAGACAUCUGUAUCUUUCUGGUAUAAUUCCUCUGUGUAUUCUUGCCACCUCUUCUUGAUGUCUUCUGCUUCUGUUAGGUCCUUUCCACUUUUGUCCUUUAUUAUGGUAAUCUUUGUACGAAAUGUUCCUUUCAUAUCUCCAAUUUUCUUGAACACAUCUCUGGUUCUUCCCAUUCUAUUGCUUUCCUCUAUUUCUUUGCAUUGCUCGUUUAAGAAGGCCUUCUUGUCUCUCCUUGCUAUUCUUUGGAAAUCUGCAUUCAAUUUCCUGUAUCUUUCACUAUCUCCCUCGCAUUUUGCUUGCCUUCUCUCCCCCGCUAUUUGUAAGGCCUCUUUGGACAGCCACUUUGCUUUCUUGCAUUUCCUUUUCAUUGGGAUGGUUUUCGUUGCUGCUUCCUGUAUAAUGUUGCGAGCCUCCAUCCAUAGUUCUUCAGGCACUCUGUCCACCAAAUCUAAAUCCUUAAACCUGUUCCUCACUUCCACUGUGUAUUCAUAAGGAAUUUGAUUUAGAUUGCAUCUUACCGACCCAGUGGUUUUUCCUACUUUCUUCAGUUUAAGCUUGAAUUUUGCUAUAAGAAGCUGAUGAUCUGAGCCACAGUCAGCUCCAGGUCUUGUUUUUGCUGACUGUAUAGAGCCUCUCCAUCUUUGGCUGCAGAGAAUAUAAUCAAUCUGAUUUCGAUGCUGCCCAUCUGGUGAUGUCCAUGUGUAGAGUCGUCUCUUGUGUUGUUGGAAAAGCGUGUUUGUGAUGACCAGCUUAUUCUCUUGACAGAACUCUAUUAGCCUUUGCCCUGCUUCGUUUUGAUCUCCAAGGCCAAACUUGCCAGUUGUUCCUUUUAUCUCUUGACUCCCUACUUUAGCAUUCCAAUCCCGUAUAAUGAGAAGAACAUCCUUCUUUGGUGUCACUUCUAUAAGGUGUUGUAAGUCUUCAUAGAAUUGGUCAAUUUCAGUUUCUUCAGCACCAGUAGUUGGUGCAUAAACUUGGAUUACUGUGAUGUUAAAAGGUCUGCCUUGGAUUCGUAUCGAGAUCAUUCUAUCAUUUUUGAGAUUGCAUCCCAGUACAGCUUUCGCCACUCUUUUGUUGACUAUGAGGGCCACUCCAUUUCUUUUACGGGUUUCUUGCCCACAGUAGUAGAUAUGAUGGUCAUCCGAACUGAAUUCACCCAUUCCCGUCCAUUUUAGUUCACUGAUGCCCAGGAUGUCAAUAUUUAUUCUUGCCAUCUCAUUUUUGACCACAUCCAACUUACCCAGGUUCAUGGUUCUUACAUUCCAGGUUCCUAUGCAAUAUUUUUCUUUACAGCAUUAGACUUUCCUUUCACUUCCAGGCAUAUCCGCAACUGAGCGUCCUUUCGGCUUUGGCCCAGCCGCUUCAUCAGCUCUGGAUCUACUUGUACUUGCCCUCCGCUCUUCCCCAGUAGCAUGUUGGAUGCCUUCCGACCUGAGGGGCCCAUCUUCCAGCGUCAUAACUUUUAUAUGCCUGUUGUCUUUGUCCAUGGAGUUUUCUUGGCAGGAUACUGGAGUGGCUUGCCGGUUCCUCCUCCAGGUGGAUCACGUUUGGUCAAAACUCUCCACUAUGACCUGUUCAUCUUGGGUGCCCUGCUCGGCAUAGUUCAUAGCUUCUCUGAGUUCUUCAAGCCCCUUCACCACGGCAAGGCAGUGAUCCAUGAAGGGGGACAGCACAAUAGUUCAUCCAAUAAUCCAUGCUUACAAUGGCCUGGCUGGCCAGCUUUAUUGUAUGAACUACUUUAAAACAUUGUCCUUUUUGUCUGCGCAUGUCCCCUUAUGGGCUUUGCUCUGGGCAAGCACCCUCUUUUUACUGACUAAUGCAUGCUCUAAUGUGGAUGGCUCAGAAGAUCUGCCUUCCAAAUAUAGCCCCUUGCUGCCUAAAAGCCAUAACUCCACCAGCAAUAAGUACCAGCAGAUUAUUUUAUAGUCUUUUAACAGAGCGGCCCUACUCAAUAAACUCCAAUGUUCCUUCUAAUUAGGAGCACUUAAAGCCCGAAACCAUGUGUUCCGCUGCUUUUUAAAAUAUCAGUAUUUUAAGGGCUCCUGACUAUAAUUACUGCUGUAGGUUUAAUACAACGAAGUUAAUGGUAUUCAAGAGAGUUUUGGUGGAGGCAGGUUAAAGACCAUCAUCCAGCAUCAUCGAAGUCCUGCUGCGGGAAAUGCCUGGAAAAUAAUGGAUUCUUUAUAACUCCAAACUGUUCCUCGGUCUGCUCAUUCAUUUUAAUCUGCUUAAAGUAUCUUAGCCAGUGUCAACAUCUUAAGAACUGCUUCAUCAGCUUAUCUGCCUUGCGAGGGAGGAGUACAACUCGGGACAUUGUUGCUGGAGAACACAGCAUUAGGCACGCCAUAAGAAAAGACAACAUAUCCAAAAGCGGUAAACAUUUGCGGAACCAAGAAUGGGGAGAUUUAGGGUGAAAUCCCAACUCCCUGUUGCUGCCAGAGGGGCUCUGUGGAGCAGUGGAGCCAUGUUCAAGUCUGCAGCCCUGCUGUUCUCAGAGACAGCAAUGGAAGGGAUGAGAGGCAUAUCAGGCCUGAUGCUGGUCAGCACCACUUGUGAGAUUGUCUUGGGAACCAAUAGAUUCCAGACUGGUGUGGUGUAGUGGUUAAGAGUGGUAGAUUCGUAAUCUGGUGAACCGGGUUCGCUUCCCCUCUCCUCCACAUGCAGCUGCUGGGUGACCUUGGGCUAGUCACACUUCUCUGAAGUCUCUCACCCCCACUCACCUCACAGAGUGUUUGUUGUGGGGGAGGAAGGGAAAGGAGAAUGUUAGCCGCUUUGAGACUCCUGCAGGUAGUGAUAAAGCGGGAUAUCAAAUCCAAACUCUUCUUCUUCUUCUUGGAACAACUCAUUUCAGGGCUUUCCAUCAGGCUUUGCUGGAAGGAAUACAAUCAGUGAGCCACCCACCUAUACAAAUAUUCAGUGCUUUUUUUUACUGUCUAAAAUAACAUUUUUAUGUAUUUCCCCCUAAAAUAAGAAUUUUGUAAACUUUUGGGGUGGGGGCAAGCAGAGAAUGGUAUCACAAAAUUUGGAGAUAUGAACAGUCUAAAGUAUGCCUGCAUUCCAAUGUGUGCAAUAGUCCUGGAUAGCGAUGUCAGAGGGUUCUGAGGAAAACUGCCCGUAUUCACUUACUUGCCCUAUGUUUGGAAUGAAAAUCAAUCCAGUGAAUAUUAUUGGUAUUUGCUACUGUUGUUGUUUUAGUCAGCAAAUGAUACCUAAUCGGUUGUCGUUCCCCCAACUCAUCCCAUUUGCAUUACAUUUCCUUUGCGCUAAAAUGAAUGGGGUGGAUUAACAAUUUUGUACAUUACAUAAGUUACGUAAUUUUGCCACAGCAGAGAAUGAGACAAAUAAGGCAGAAUACGAACUGCAGUGGAAUGGAAACAGUGCUACAUGCAGUGAAUACAGGGUGGAAUGCAAAAUGAUGUCUUUUUACAUCCCUAGACCUAGAUGUGUGAGUUAUGCUGGUUUGCUUAACAAAAGCAAAAUUUUAACAAAAUUAUCUUCCAUCUGUAACCUGUGCAAAAAAAGUAUGAACAAGGAAUUGACAAAUGCAACACAGGCUGCUUAUCCUUGAAGACAGCUUAAUAUAUAGGCCAAUUCUGCAGCUUCCUCUCACAAGCAUUGCAUAUGCCUGAUCCUAGACUUCAGGCAGCCCAAAGACUUAUAAAGAAAGCAAAAUAGAUUUCAUUUCUUAAGUGUCAAUAAAAUAGAAGCUAUUAAAUACAAAUAUUAGUUACUUCCUAACUACAAACAAACCCAUGAUUGGAAGGGACUGAGGUAAGCAAUAUCCCCUUUAUUCAUUCAUUCAUUUAUUUUAAAGGAAUGAAUUUAACUUUGUCUCUCCUAAACUGGGGAGGGAAAUGAUUAGGUUCUGAAACCAAGCUAGAUACACACAUUUCCCAUUACCAGGCUUUCCCAUGUGAUUCUUUAAUUGACUGGUAGUUUGAGAGAUACCAACUAUCUCUCUAUAGAAAAAAACCCUAUUGAUUUAUAUGAUGCAGUGUGCUGGUCCCAUGGGUUACCGAGAGGCAAGGUGCAAGUCCGGUCUGUGGUCAAAGGUGCAACAUGGAGGCAGUCCGUAGUAGCUGAAGGUGGGUGCAGGGCAGGGAGUCGGGUGAAGUCAGGGACAGGCAUGCAAGCAGGGAGCCAGGGCAGGUCAGGAGCUCAGGCAGGAAAGCAGGACAGGGUUUUCCACAUAUUGGUCCAUCAUGGCUGGGGUGGGUGUGUACGUGCGAUUCAUGCAAUACUGAUAAAAACGUAAAACUCAUAUUAGAGAUAUUAGUUUUAAUGAAGAUUGGUUAUUUUGAAAUAAAAACAAAUGCAUUUUGGCAUAGUAAACAAGAGCCAAGGCAAAGAUGAAGCAAGAAGUCGCUUUUACGACUGCAAACUUUGCCCUGCAUGGCAUCAAUUUCUGAAAUAGAAUUUCAAAGCGUUAGAUCAUAUCUGAAUGUAAAAUGGAACAGCCUUCACUUCAGGCCUUGCUCAUUGCAUCAUUCAUUUUGGCUAUGCAAAAUGAAGCUGUACAAGAAUGAUGAGGUUUAGAUUUUGUCCCAGAUAAACUAUAGUAAAAUAAUAAAGCCUCUUGCUAUUCAGAAGGCCUGAGCAAAAUUUUAGGAAGCAUACCAGCAUCAACAUCGGCUAUGAUGAAAUGUGUUUUCAAGGCAGUAUUUGCCUUUGUUUUCCUUUCCCCAAAGGAUUAAGAAAAUAUCCUAGAACCAAAAGAACUAGAACGAAUCAUAUAUACACAAUUCAAUUUGUGUGCUGCCUUUCCACAGUUCUAACCAUGGUUAAAGUGGCUUACAGAACAAAAAAUACAUAACAAAAGUAGUCGUAAACAAUAAUAAAAACAUUAAUAAAUAUACUACCUAACCUGUGGCGUAGGAAGGGGUUGGGGGGUGCGGGCCACCCCAUGUGUCAUCACUGAGGGGGGUGAUAAAAAACAACUCCCACACCCACCGCACGCCCCUUCCUAUGCCACUGCGGGAGCACUCUUCCCUUGAGUGAUUUCCAGAAACCAGAAGCAUCGCUGCCUCCAACUUUUCGGGCAGAGCACAGCCUUUAUGGCUUGUAGCCUUCGACAGCCGUCUCCUCCAUGAAUCUGCCUAAUCCAGAGGUGUAGCUAGGUGAGGCAGGGGGCACUGGGCUCCACACCGCGGGGCCUGCAACGUGCCUGAGCCACACGUCUCUCCUGAGGGGGAGGCAGCUGUUGAUAUUUUCACCCCUCCCAUUGACAGAAUCUCCUGAUCUGAUGUUUUGAGAAAGGAGGGGGCGGAAACUGCUCUUCUACUCUUCCGCUCCUGACUGACUGCCUGACUCUGUGUGUGGAGACAGUCUUAUCUAUGUAGUGACCAGAUGGCUGAGUGGAAGAUGUAACACUCAUGCAAGCCAGUAGUUCAUUAGUUUGUAGUAGCUAUUAGAAAUAAAAGGAGUUAUGCUUCACAGCUAGCUUCCACGUUAUUUAUACCCUGCAUGAGUCUGGUGCUCACAAUGCACAUUUGUGGGUCCAGGGCACUGGGACCUGCUUUGCAGGAUUGGAAGGUCUCUGAAAGUGCUCCAGUCGCCUAGCCCAGUCAGGACAGAACCAGUUAUUAAGCCCAGUCGCUGACAUCGGUUGAAAGGCAUACUAACAGCGGCGGACGGACUGCCUGCAAGCUCCACACUGCUUUUUCAAGCAGCGCGGGGCUUGCGUCUGCCCGUCGCCCUACAGCUGAGGGGGCGGCUGCAGAGAGGCUCCACACAGUGCGCCCUGCCUUGGCUUGCCCCGCCCCCAGCUGCUGGACACGCAUGCUGCCCCGGGCAUCCGAGUGGCUAGCAACGUCACUGAACCAAAUUGAAAAACAGUAACACAGUACUGUUCUAUAAUAGUACACAGUAACAUCUAUAAUAAAGACACAAAAAGCCAGCAGCGGCAACAGCAACAACCCCCCAGCCCAAAAGUGUGUUCAGCAGUCUCAGCUUUAAUAAUAAUAAUAAUAAUAAUAAUAAUAAUAAUAAUAAUAAUAUAAUUUAUUAUUUAUACCCCGCCCAUCUGGCUGGGUCCCCCCAGCCACUCUGGGCGGCUUCCAACAAAACACUAAAAUACAAUAACCUAUUAAACAUUAAAAGCUUCCCUAAACAGGGCUGCCUUUAGAUGUCUUCUAAAAGUUUGGUAGUUAUUUUUCUCUUUGGCAUCUGGUGGGAGGCCAUUCCACAGGACGGGCGUCAUUACCGAGAAGGCCCUCUGCCUGGUUCCCUGUAACUUGGCUUCUCGCAGUCAGGGAACCGCCAGAAGGCCCUCGGCGCUGGACCUCAGUGUCCGGGCAGAACGAUGGCGGUGGAGAUGCUCCUUUUAUAGCUGGAGUCAUUCAGGGCCCUGCUCUCCCAGCCCAGGUGGGAAAAGGCCUGCAACGUAGGUCUUCCAAGACUCCGGCCAGCCCUCAGUUUCAAUGCAGAAGCCCAGAUAAACCAAAGUAAUUCAAUGUAACCACGUUAACAGUACAGAGGUUGGAUUCCAACAUGGAUAUACCUCUAGGAGAAGAUCUUAUGCCCAUAGAAAGUAAUCUUGUGAUGUGACCCAUCCUAGUUCCUGAUAGCAUCUGCCCCCAACAAUAGAAAAUGUUAUAACAGCCAAAUUUGUUGGGGACCAUAAAGAUGCUUUUUUAUACUCCAGGUCAUCAUUUCUUAGAAAUGACAAUAAAAGUUUUUGUUUCAAAAACCUUACCUUGCUUGUGAUAAUGGUGCAGCAAUCUAGGGUAGCUCCAGUAGAUAAAAUCCAAAAUAAGCUCCUAUGUGCAUUAUAGCCUCCAUAUAUUACACCUCGUGCAUUACUAAGAACGAAAGUAGGUCUCCUUCCACUAAAAGCAUGUAUUCAUAAAUCUGUGAUCCUUUACCAGAAGAAAGAACACUAACGUCAGGCCAACGUUUCACAAAGUUAUGUUUCUGGACCAGCAGAACAGAGAAAGCAAGGCACAACUUUGUAACAGUUUAAUGCUGAGUUAUUCAAUUCCUUCUCUAAUGUCACCUAAGGACAUUUCUGACCAUAAGAUCCACAAUGUAAAUUUUGCUGAUGAUUCAAAAAUAGACUUUGAAUAUAUGAAAAAAAAAAAUCUUAGCUCUUAGUUUGGUAUAUUAAAAUUAAAUCUGGCCAUAAAAGGGCUGCUUAUCUGUGGGAAUUAACUUUCCCCAUUCUUAGACAUGUGUUUACUUGGCUUAGAAUAUUUGACCAGCAAAUCUUUUAAUAGAUCAGCAAAUGACCAUCUUUGUGUCUGCAGAUUAGGCCAAAUUGAAGACAUUGUGCACUAUAUCCUUGAUUAAAAGUUUAUAAAAUUCAGCAAGUGAUAUCUUUUUUUUAUUCUAUUCAUUUCAGAAUUUUCUAGAAAGUCAGUCAGUCGUGAUUUCAAAAUUAGAUGGUUGCUGUCACAUAUAGACAAAUUUCUUGCCUAUAGGACAGCUUUAGAUACCUUUGAUGAAAAAUGUUACAGUCAUAAGACCUAAUGAAGACCCCUGCUGGAUCAGGCCCAAGGCCCAUCUAAUCCAACCCCCCUCACAGUGGCCAGCCAGAUGCCCAUGGGAUGCCAGCAAGCUUUGUUCUGACCCAAAAGAGUGUUGAAAGCCAAGAGGGGUUUCAUCUUGAAUUUCUGAAAAUGUACAUGUUUAACUUACUUUGGAAUUGACUUGUUUGUUUUUAUGAGUUUCAGUGUAUUGGCGGCUGCUUUCUUUUGGUCAGCAGUCUAUGGAACUUUGCUGAUAGAUGGCCAUUUAAAAUAAAUAAACAGCCAUGCUCAUGAAAUCAAUGGCCUUAGGGAAUUUAAGGCCAUUCAUUUCAGUGGUUAUACUCUGAGUAUGCCUGUUGUCUUUGUCCAUGGAGUUUUCUUGGCAGGGAUACUGGAGUGGCUUGCCGGUUCCUGCUCCAGGUGGAUCACGUUUGGUCAAAACUCUCCACUAUGACCUGUCCAUCUUGGGUGGCCCUGCACGGCAUAGCUCAUAGCUUCUCUGAGUUAUUCAAGCCCCUUCGCCACAGCAAGGCAGUGAUCCAGUCAUGAAGCUGAGGCUCCAAUACUUUGGCCACCUCAUGAGAAGAGAAGACUCCCUGGAAAAGACCCUGAUGUCAGGAAAGAUGGAGGGCACAAGGAGAAGGGGUCAGCAGAGGACGAGAUGGUUGGACAGUGUACUUGGAGCAACAGCAUGAGUUUGACCAAACUGCAGGAGGCCUGGCGUGCUCUGCUCCAUGGGGUCAUGAAGAGUCGGACACUACUAAACGACUAAACAACAACAACUCUGAGUAUGAUUUAGUUGAAUCUUUCCAUUAUUUAUGCUUUUCACAUUGUGCUUCCGGGUGUUCAAGUCAACCACUGUUUCCACUAGUAUGCAAUAUGGCUUACACAGGGAACUCAUGGACUAAAUUAGCGCAUAUGUGCCUAGCUCCCAUACACCAACCUAUGGGGCUUUGUCAUAAGCAUAAUGAACAAAGCGAACUCCAUACUACAACAUCUCAGAACAAUUAUGAUGAAGCUGAUUUACACAUGCAUGUGAUUACUUGGGGCUGGUUGACCCCCUAUAGGGUCAUCUUAGGAGGUUGCAAGGGCUGCUGUCUGGCUUGUGCCUGAGCAGUGGUCAUCCAGAGGCAGCAUUUAUGAGAAUUCAUGUUCCGUAUUGUACUUGCAAACACUAUGGUUGGUGCUAUAAAUGCCUGCACAUUCUUCUUGUAGAGGCAUUGCUUGACAUUCACAUAAAGCCCCCAUAUCUGGUCCCUGGUAUUAGAGUACUCACUUUGAAUAAACUUUUACUUUUUACUUCUUCUCUUUUUUGCAAAGCAAUCUCUUCUGACUCACAUCUGUAGAAAAUUCUGCUCAGCCUUGCCUGUCACUCUUCUCUAACCUUUGAUUAUAGCUUUGAGGUUUUUAUUCAGAAUAAGAAAAGCGGGAGUAGCUCAGGAAAGACGGAGCUCUAUGUCACAAUUUAUAGAAUUGAUUUUUGUUUCUCAAAAAGGAAACAUUAAACCAUGUUUGGUUCAUGCUAUCAGUUUCAUUUUAGCUACCAGACCUUAGAAACCACAACUGCUCUCAUUGCAGUAAGAGUAAUGCAGCAUGUUUAACAUAACAGAGGGGGGUUUUUUUGUUUGUUUUUAAGGCAUUGGAAGGGGAAACUUCUAUGAAAUUCAGUUUCUAUAAGGUUCCUGAGUAACAAGUAUCAAUGUGGGAUGGUCUGAGGGUUUUGUCAGUAACUGGAUGGAAGACCACAUGGGAACCUAUUGUAUGCUGUAUUUGUAUGUAUGGUGUAUAAUGUAUUGCAUUAUUUAAAUGCAAUAAUGGCACAUGCCACCUCUGUUCCAUCCAGGAAAGUAGCAUUGACACUAGUGUUGGGAGGUCACCUCUAAAUGUCCUACUACUUUUGUUAAAAGGAAAAAGUCAGGUAAGAAUGCCACAGUAACAGAAUUAAUGCAUCUGCUGUGUACUAGAUAGCUAAACAUGAGCUCAUAUACAUGAAGCACUGUCCAUCCCUUGCAUCAGACAUCUUGCAAAGACGUGUAUCUUUUUGCCCAGGCUUUAACUGAUUGGGUCCUGUUCUUACUGGCUUUUCUCUUUUUAGAAUACCUUAGCUCUUGAGAUGAAGGAUGAAGUCAAGAAAGCAUCCAAAAGAAGAGACAUUGUGGUGAUGGGUGACUUCAACUGCCCUCACAUAGACUGGUUGCGUAUGUGUUCCAGUCAUGACAAAAGGUAAAAAUUCUAGAUACUCAAAAUGACUGCCCUAGAACAGUUGGUCUUGGAACUGACCAGAGGGGUAUCAACCUUGGAUUUAAUCUUGAAUGGUGCCCAGAAUGUGAUAUGAAAUAUAUGUGUUGGGAGCAGUGGUCAUAGUGCUAUUAAAUGAAACAAACAUAUAAAAGAUGGGUGGGGUAUAAAUAAUAAAUUCUUCUUCUUCUUCUUCUUCUUCUUCUUCUUCUUCUUCUUCUUCUUCUUCUUCUUCUUCUUCACAUUUGACUUCAAAAGACGGAUUGGCAACAAGGAAGGGCCCAGGAGCCUUCAAGAGGAAGAACAGCAAGAGCAGAGAGAAAAUCUUUCUUACCAUCAUAAGAUAAAUGGUAAAGGUGCCAUCCCAUUUGGUCUUUGGAAGAGAAAGUUGAUUGGUUAAUACUUUGAGUAUGCCUUUGUUGUCAGGAUGGCAGCAUGGUGUGCAAUAUUACCCCAGGUGAUAGAAUUUUUUUUUAAAAAAUGGGGGGGGGGAAUUAAUCUGGGUGUCAUGAGGGUUAACUUGCCGAAGCAGUUGGUUGGAUUUUGACAACUCUUAUCACCUGGUUGAUUUCUGAUAGUCCUUUUUGAUAGUUAGCUGAUCAGCCUUCCCCAACCUGUUGCUCUCCAGAGGAUUUGGACUACAACUCCUUCCAGUCCUGCUCUGGUUGGGAUGAUGGGAGUUGUAGUCCAAAACAUACGAAGGGCAUCCAACUGAGGAAGGCCAAGUUAGAGUUUAAUACUUAUGCAGAGGCUGGGUGGUAUGUGAGAGAUUUUUUUCUUUUAUGUAUUGUUAUCAAGGCAUUGAAAUGUUGAUGUGUUACAAAUUAUUUUGAAAUGCUUAUUUGCUGUUCUUAAUAUUUGCUUACCUUUUUAUAUUGUACUCUUUUUUGCAGAAAGAUUGCGUACAAAGUGUUAUCUAAUCUGGUGCUGACCAAGGACAAAGUGUGGUUUGUAGAUCAAGGAGAUGGGGAUGCACAUAAUAAAAUGUUACAGUUAUGACUUUUUAAUCUGGUCCUGAUGCCAAUAUCUAGAAACACAAAGUACAAUGUUGUAAUGUCUCUGCAAGGACAACUGGGUGGGGGAAUGAGAAACAGGCAGCAGAUUUGAGGGGAAAUAAAUAUCCCUUCCCAAAGUAGCAAGCAAGGAUGGCAAAUCCCAUACUGUUUGCUUCACUGCAUACUGAAUGCAUACUGAAUGGCCUCAGGAUGCAGAAAGGGCCAGAAGACUAGGUGGUUAAGCGCUAGAGAUAAAACUUCCCUUUAGGCAUUAGUCUCUUUCUCUUAAGCCUAAAGAAAUGGGGUUUUUUUAAAUAAAAAAAAAUAGCCCAAGAUGACAGUAUUAGUCCUAGAUGCUGAUGUGGACCUCCAGGGUUGAGGCAGAGAACUCAGUGGCAUUCCAAUUAUCCACCCACCAAGUCAGUAAUUAGGUAUAUUUGAUCAUACCAAAAUAAAAACUGGAGUUCAAGUGUAUACACACACACACGCAUACACGGCUUAAUGGAUUCUCUUACUUGCCUUGUCAGAUUUAUUGUUUCGGCACAACAAUUCCCCUAGCAGAUUAAGAAGCCUCGGAGGCUCUUGCUCCAGCUAAGCAGUGACUCUUACUGUAAGCUUCUUAUUCUCAGUGUUUCUUUCUGCCUUCCGUGCUGUCCCCAUGAUUAGAAAAUAAGUAUGUUCUAUCUUUCAGUACAUCUGUCACUUUAAGUCACUCAGCAUAUCUCAAACAGAGCCCAUUGCACCAACACUUUGGAUAUCAAUUCCAGAUUCUUCCUAGGGGCUUUUAGCCAAGUUUGCAAAGGGCAGCUAUGAAGAAAUGCGAAAGAUACCUUUCUGAUUUACUUGUUUGUUUGUUUGUUUGUUUGUUUUGCUAACAUCAGGUAAACAAGGGGGGAAUGCAGAUUUAGGUGGUUUCUUCAGCCUUUUGGUGCAAAGGUCUGGAAAGAGGUGCCAGGCAAUCCCAUUAUUGAAAUUACAAGUAACACUAGAUGAAACUGUUCAGCCAAGCAAAAUAUGCUACCUUAUGGAAAAACUCAGCAUCUCUCUUCAUUUGGUAAUACAAGGAGGCUAUUAGUUUGAGGGAAAUGAGACAGGACCCCAUCUACAAGUAUCCAGGAAUUUCUGCAAGACAGCUAGAUUAUUGGAACAGUUCACCAAUUAGGCUUGAUAAGAAAGGCAAGGCAUAUGUUUGUGUUUUUGUUUGUAUAUCAGGGAACAGGAUAAAUUCUUUUUCUAAAAAUGUUAAUGUUGGCCGUGGUGGGGAUAACUUCCAUGAUAAGUGGUGGAGGAGGCAGUAAGAACUGGAAGCCAGUGUGGUGUAGUGGUUAAGAGUGGUAGUCUCGUAAUCUGGGGAACCGGGUUUGCAUCUCCGCUCCUCCACAUGCAGCUGCUGGAUGACCUUGGGCUAGUCACACUUCUCUGAAGUCUCUCAGCCUCACUCACCUCACAGAGUGUUUGUUGUGGGGGAGGAAGGGAAAAGGAGAUUGUUAGCCGCUUUGAGACUCCUUAGGGUAGUGAUAAAGUGGGAUAUCCAAUCCAAACUGUUCUUCUUCUUUCUGGAACUUUAUUUAAACAUACUGAAAUUGGUGGCCUGUAAUCCUUUGCAAUGCUUUUGUUUGAGUGAAGCUGAUAUGUUGAGGUAUUUCAGAAGCAUUGUUGGCCGGGAGGAGAGAGAAAGAUGGCAGCCCAGAGGAGUAGAUGGUGGAAGCAUUCGUGUCCUUGAUGACAGCCAAAGUGUUCCUCUUCCAUUUCCAGAUUUAUAUAGAUGAUAUAGACAAAGAUAGACAGAUAGAUAAUACACACCCAUAUUAUCAAAUGGCUCUCUCUUACCUGCUUUUGACUUAAAACAGAAAUACAGUUCUGCUUCUCAUGCUAAACUACCUACUGGUACUUUAAUGCUACAGACCUAAGCUCCCUUAUCUGGAAGUAAAUCCCACGGAAAGCACUUUCACUCCCUCCUUUGCAAGCUGCAAAGCUGGUGCAGCAUUUUUGGCUUGUAUAUCAGAGACCAGGAUAAUUUUAGGAAGGUGGCCAGGAAGGGAGGAAAAGAACAGUAACAGCAAUCGUGGAGAAAGCUCUCUAUAGUUUUUGCACCAUCGUAGCCAUUCAUAUCUGUGAUGCUGUGAGAAGGGCCUCUCCCACGGAUUGUAAACUCUGUUGAUGGCCAGAGUGUGUGUGCCUAGUGUUUGCAGCCUCAAUAAAGGGGCAGGAUGGUCCCCUGCUCUCCUCCUUGCCAUUAGCACAGUGGGCCAGAUCCGUAUCUCCAGACACACCUUGCAACCCAAGUUUGACAGAUGGGCAGGGCCACCUACCUUGCAAUCACCUGACCUCAGACUGACAUCAGGUGGCCUGUUUUUGCCCAGUUUGAAAUCAAAUUAUGUGGGCAAAAGUAUGUGUGCAGUGCUUCUAUAGUGCCAACAAUCAACUGAAUGUCAGCUCUGGGACAGCCCUGUAUGCAGCAGUGACCAAGCACCAAUCAUCAGCUGAUAAGUCCACACUUGGGAAGCACUACACAAAGGCCCUUUCAUCCAAAUGUUCCUUACCUGUCCCACACCUGAUGUCAUAGGGUUGGUAGACAUGGCUUGACCAAAGCAGCCUCAUGGCCCAAAUGGAGAGACUUGGUGGGCCUAAUACAGCCCACAGAAUUAAGGUUCUGUACCCUUUCGGCAACAUUCUUGAAAGUGCCUAAAGAGGGCUAUGUGGUACCUGGCUGUUGUCAAACACACAGAGACACAGACCAAACUUUCCAAGAGUAGAAAAUGUGCUAAAAUGGAUGGUUCAUGUACAGAAGUCUCUCUCUGUUCCUUUAGAAUUAUUAUUCAGUCAGGCAAAGAUCUAGGCCAGUCCUUGUGUGAAGUCAGCUCAAGUUUUGUUUUCCAAUCCAGGUGUGAGGUAGAUGUAAUGAAAUGAUGCAGUAACUGCAGACCCACAGCUGUGCAGAUGAACUUAAGUCCUAUUUGAAUUCAGUGGGGGAGAGAUCAAUGUCCCUCAAUGGAGGGUGCUUUAAUUGGACCAGAUUUCCCCCAUUGCUUUUGGCACAUUUGCUCUGAGUGUUGGACUAUUCUUUAGCAUUGUUGAUUCUGAGAUCAGACUUAAGCACUGGAAUAUAUUUUAAAAGCUGUAGAUCUUCAGACAGAUAUUAAGUGCCUCUUUUCUUAAAGUGCAUCAAGCUCUUAUCAGGCGAUCAGCAGAAGAGUGGUAUCUCACUUGCUUACCCAUUCAUGCAGUUCCUGGCAAGCGAGCCCCUAUUCUGCUUCUCUGGAAUGCAAUCUAGCAGGAAUUGAAGAACCCAUUAGAGAAGGAGAGGCAGCAACAGGAUUCUACAUUAGCCAACCCUUUUCUCUGCAGGCAGACUGAGCUCUUUUCUCCUUGUCUAGCACACACAUUUUGCAACAGUUUAAAAGAAGGUGCAAAGAAGCAGUAAGGGGGGGAAGCCUUUGAAGAAUAAGGAACUGGAAGAUGAAACGCAAGACUACCUCCUCAUCUGCACCUCUCCUUUAUCACUCUGUGCUUGUGCAUAUAUUUAUAGUGGGGUGGCAGAUUGGGUGAGGACUUCAAGGUUUCCAUUGUGCAACAUGGAAACUCAGAGUCUCAAAUGAUCAAAGUUCAUCUUUAACACGUGUCUCUCUGCAAUGCACCCACAGGGCUUUUUUUUUCCUUCUUUUUUUUUUUAAGGAUUAGGCUCUUAUAUAAUCAUAUGUAUUUUGCCUCCAGGAAGAUGUAUUACUUCCUACGCAUUACAACUCUUGCCCACCAGGAUUUGUAUAUGUAUGAAGAAGGAGAAGAAGAAGAGUUUGGAUUUGAUAUCCCGCUUUAUCACUACCCAAAGGAGUCUCAAAGCAGCUAACAUUCUCCUUUCCCUUCCUCCCCCACAACAAACACUCUGUGAGGUGAGUGGGGCUGAGAGACUUCAGAGAAGUGUGACUGGCCCAAGGUCAUCCAGCAGCUGCAUGUGGAGGAGCGGAGACACGAACCCGGUUCACCAGAUUACGAGUCUACCGCUCUUAACCACUACACCGCACAGGCGCUCAUGAACCUGCCAUGACUGAACUCUGUUGAUUAUGAUGGGACUUUCGUGUGCGUAAACCAGGUGCAGCAUUUUGUCUUACCUGAGCAAUGUGCACACAUAAAGAUCCUGCAUGUCCAUCAAAGGUAGUCACUGUACAAAGUUUAUUUGGUUUGUUUAUGGUCCCAUCUGCACUGGGCACCACAAUUCCACUUUAAACAGUCCUGGCUUCCCCCAAAGGAACGGUAGUUUGUUUAGGAUGCUGAAAGUUCAUGGUUACUUUUAUUCCUCUCUUUUUUAAAACAUUUUUUAUUAAGUUUCCAUUUUAUCACAUUUAAACACAUCCUUAUUAUACUCCUUACAUAUUUGCUCAAUCAAGCUUCGACUUCCCUCCCUCCCGGCUCAUGGUUUUCAUAGUUCCUUAUUACUUCAUAGCAUUUAUACGUUUUCCAAUUUAUGUUUCACUCCCUCCAUUUAUCGCAAAUUUUUAAAUGAACAUAAAAAGGUACAAAUCAUUAACAUUUCAAAUUUUCUUACAACAACCCUGCUGACGUUGUUAAUUGUUUACAAUUGUCCUUCAGAUAUUGUACCAAUUUACUGCAGUCUUUUUGGAAAGCUUGAUCAUGCUGGUUUCAGAUUUUCCCAGUCAGCUUUGCCAAUUCUGCAUAGUCUAUCAUCUUCAUCUGCCACUCUUCUAACGAUGGAAUUUCCUGUUGCUUCCAUUUUGGGGCUAAAAGAGUUCUUGCUGCUGUUAUCGCGUACAUAAACAGUUUUAUCUUUGGAAUCUCUUUCCCUACUAUUCCUAACAGAAAGGCCUCUGGUUUUUUCACAAAGGUACUUUUAAACAUUUUCUUUAACUCAUUAUAUAUCAUUUCCCAGUGAGCUUUUACCUUACUACAAGUCCACCACAUGUGGUAAAAAUUUCCCUCCUUUUCUUAACAUUUCCAACAUUCCUUAUUUCUUGUCUUAUACAUUUUGGCUAAUUUAGUUGGCGUUAAAUACCAUCUGUAUGUCUUUUAUUCCUCUCAAUUCCCGUAGUUACAUGGGAAGAGGGACUGGUUGUUAAACUUAUAUUUUCAUUUGAUUGCAGUGAUGUGAGAGCCAGAAAAUGAACAGUUUAGCCACCAGGCUCUAGACUGCAUUUUGCCACUAUGGGGACAUUGUGAGUCAGCAGUAAAGAGAACAGGAGAUAAUGUAUCAUUUUAACAUGGAAACUAGCUAUAGGUUCAUAGAACUGCUGGAGGGUGCUUGGAGGCCAUCCAGCCUAUCCCCUUGCUCAGUACUAGAACCAAUCAGCAAUGCAGCUGCAGCAUCCUUGACAGAUGGCUGUCUAGCUUCAGCUUAGAUUACCUGCAGCUAAAGAGCACCCAGCAUCUCCCAAGACAGUCUGUGUCACUCUCAAAAGCUCUUGACAUUAAGAAGUUACUCCUAAUGCUUCACAGAAAUCUGCUUCCUUGCGAUUUUAAUCCACCAGUCCUUGCCCUGCUUUCUGUCUGGAGCAACAGAAAAAUAAAUGUGCUCCAUCUUCUGCAUGGCAGCACAUAUUUGAAGACUAUUAUCAUGUCUCUCCGUAAUCUACUCUGGACUGAACAUACUUGGCUCUUUCAGCCAUUCAUCAACCAUAUGACUUGGUUUGCAGACCUCUCCAGUGGUCAUGCUCAACUUUGUCAAUGCCCAUUUUCAAAUGUGUUGGCCAGGGACAAGAAAGGACAACAGGCUCUGCUUUGAUUAGAGAUGGCAGGUGAUAAAAUUACACAAUGCAAUUGCAGGGUAAUUUGUCUCAAAGUAAAGCACAACUUUCGACAUUUUACUUAAAGGAUGUCAGUGUGGCAGUUUCUCAGGCUGCUUUUUAGGCAUUUGAAAAUUAAACUUUGGGGGGAGGCAGGCAGAGAGUGAAUGUACUUGCAGCUUCAUUUUUCAUGUAAAUGUAGCUGUCACGUGACAGUCAAUCGAAUACUAUAGCCACUGGUUGUCUGCUUAUGGUUAUCACAUACUCUCCUCCAAUAAAAAUUUGCUUAGCACCAAAAAUUAUCACAUCCAGAUGGCAAAAAAUAAAUUAAAAAUCAAAUGCUCAAAGAGGAUGAGAACCAGUCAUGCAACAACUCUACUUACAUUUUGCAAAUGGCAUACUUACUUUCAUCCAUCAGCAGUGGGGAGGCAUUCUGAGGCAUAACAAACUGCUUUUGCAGAUUACAAGGUGGCAGGGUUAUUUUUCAAACAAGUACUCAAGAGAAUAAAAAGGGACUGGAUCUAUUUCCAGCAUGCUUAGGUGUUUGCAGUGCUGCAAUUCAAAGAUGCCCUUAGGUUUCUGACAGAAAGAAUUUGUUGGAAAGCUCAGGUUCUGUUCCUUGACUAUCCCUGUCUCUUCUAGUUACAGACAAUCCUUAUUUAGGCAAUAUUAAAAUUAGGAGAGUAAGACAAAUCUGCAGAUUUGGGAAUCUGGGUUAAUCUUAUUAAGCAAAGGAUUUACCACAGAGCUGCAUGUUCAAUACUGACAUCUUUAGUUUAGUUCACCAUAGACAUUGAAACACUUGUAAAUCUCUAAUUUUGCAUGUUGUACAUUUACAUUGUUUCAAAACAGGACAAUUAAGAAUCUUUGAUGUAGAAAACAUAAAAUUCUCUCAAAUACCCUUAAAAUAUACAUUGGUGAUUUUAUGAGGGAAGGUGCAAAGGAAUAAAUGACCUUGUUAUUUCUUACUCUUCUUUAUAUCUGCUUUGAGCUAAAAAGUGAUUUGUGUUUAUGCAUCCGUUGGAUCAGGUAUGAUCAUUGCAGGUAUUAUUAUCAGACAUAAUUAGUUAGGAACAUGGGAAGCUGCUGCAUACUGAGUCAGACCAUUGAUCCAUCUAGCUGCUUUGCUUCCACAGUUGGAUGCAGUAAUGCUUCUGAAUACCAGUUGCAGUAAACCGAAGGGUUAAUAAUCAUAAUAAUAAUAAUAAUAAUAAUAAUAAUAAUUUAUUUAUUCAGACCUCACCCAUUUGGAUGGGUUUCCCCAGCCACUCUGGGCAGCUCCCAACAGAAUAUUAACAAUAAUAAAAAAGCAAUAAAACAUCAAACAUUAAAAACUACCCUAAACAGGGCUGCCUUCAGAUAUCUUCUAAAAGUCAGGUGGUUGUUUAUUUCCUUGAUAUCUGAUGGGAGGGCAUUCUACAGGGUGGGCACCACUACCGAGAAGGCCCUCUGCCUGGUUUCCUGUAGCUUCACUUCUUGCAGUGAGGGAACCACCAGAAGGCCCUUGGAACUGAACCUCAGUGUCUGGGCUGAACGAUGGGGGUGGAGACGCUCCUUCAGGUUUCUUGUGCUUGAAUGCUGCUUCUUAAUUUCCCAUAGGCAUCUAGCUGGCCAAUGAGAAAUCAAAAUGCUGGACUAGCUGGACCAUUGGCCUGAUCCAGCAGGCUUCUCUUAAGUUCCUUUGUUAACUCCAUUUUCUAUACCAAAGAUGGGGAAUAUGUGGACCUACAGAUGUUGUUGGGAUACAUUCCCCAUCAUCCAUGACCAUUUGGAGCCCAACAGCAUCUGACCUCAGGUUCCGCAUCCAUGAUGUACACUGACUGGCAGCAGCUCCCCUUCUGAGUGUUAGGGACCAGGAAAUAGAUUCCUCAUCGAGUGCCGGAGCAGAGGAGUCCAAACCAGAAGGAACAGGGAAUGUAAGGCAAGUUCCAUAUGUGCUGCUACCCAAUGAGUCUGAAGGGCCAGUGUCCCCUCCAGCCAGACAAUAUGGCACUGCUGUCCUCAGACUUGGCUGACAUCACUGAAGACCCAGCAAGAAGCUUCUCUGCUUUGUUGCAGUAGAAGAUUUUGGAGCGUGCUGGGCCCCUUUAAUCAGAGCAACACCAUCCAGCACAGGUGCGUCUGACCAUUGGGAUGCAGCUGUCGCUGCUACUAUACAGGGUUGAGGCUUAGUUUGCUCCUUACUGGUGUGCUGCAUCCUUAGACCACAGCCUGAGCCUUGUAUUCAACCUGAACCUGGCUCUACCUUGCCUCAGUUGGCCCUGUAUCUAGCCUGAACCUCACCCUGCACCAAGCCUGAAUUCUGCCUUUACCCCAGAGCAGGACCCUGGCAGAGUUCUUUGCCAUCCUUAUCUGGAGAUGUUGAGAAUUGAAUCUGGUGCCAGCCAUCUGCAGGAAUCAUACACUUCUUGGUGGAUCACAAUGAAGCACUUUCAGGGCUAUGCCCCUAGGGCAGGGGUGAGUGAGCCACUUGUGCACAGACUGUUCUUUUCAUUUUAACCUGCAGCCUCCAUAUUUCAUCAGUGUAUUUCAAAAUGCGCAGAGUCUGAGGCUUUUCUAAUUUGUGUCAAGUGACCUUAUUUAGCCUGUUCAAGAACAUAAGUUGGCUAAGGAAGGGCCCUUAAGCGUAUGCUAUGAUUGCAUAUGAGAUAAGACUUGCUUCAGAUAUAAGCGCAGCAGACUUCUGAUCCUGGAAGUGAUAUUUUUGAAACUUUGCACAGUAGCAUUUUUUAUGCUUUCCUCAACCACUUUCUUGAUUAUAAAGAGAUUAACAAAAGAGGUAUUAAAUUAAGUGGCAGUGUAAAAUGUGACUUCUCCCAAAAUAAACAAAAAUUGGCAAAAAAGGGGGGCUUUGCAAUCAUCUAAAUGGAAAGCCAGACAACAUUUACAGCUGUGCUGAUUUGGAAAAAUGUUGCCACAUGAGUUGUUUUUCUAACCCAUGCCACUCCUGGCUCUGUCCCUAUUCCAACUUUGUGUGUUUUUUUUCCAACCAGACUAAAUGGACACAACUGGUAUGAAAUUCUAAAUAACCAAAGAAUGCUGAAGAAACAAUAUAUAUCAAUAAGCAUAGUAUUUUUUUCUUCCAGUAGUCUCUUAUAUAUGUGUGUAUGUGUGCUCCAUGCAGCACAGAGCAUAUUAACUUGGAUGAAUUUUAAAGAAAAGAGUCUUGCUGGAUCAGACCAAAGAGCCAUCUAGUCUGGAAUCAUGUUCUCACAGUGGUCAGUCAGAUGUCUACGAUGAGCACAACAGCAGUCUUGCCAGCAAUAUUCAGAGACAUGCUGCCUCCAACAGGCUAGUAGUCAUUGAUAACUUUAUCUUUCCUGAAUUUGUCUAAUCUCUAGCUUGCAGAAGAGGGGUUUCACAUGGUUUAAAACAGACAAAGUUAGGAACUUCCAGAUUCCCAGACUACCCCUGUAUCUUUAACCUAUCAACUUACUUCUCUAUCUUGUUGAUGUUAGACUGAUAUUCUCAUGUGACAUUCUGCUUACUACAUCUUCCUCCUUCUCACACUUCUCUCUCGGACCUCAAGAUGAGAGGUCUCAAUAUGAUAUUUAACUAUCCUCUGAGAGAGCAAAGGAGCAAACCUGGUUGCCUUGUUCUUCUGUAGAUUAGUUAGUUAGACUGGAACUAGAAACUUUUCUAUGCAAGUUAUGUAUUUCCUAAAAUCAUUUCUUUUAUUCUCUUUCCUACAAACAUCUCUCUCUGUAUAUGACUGCAGCUUAAACACUGCUCACUCUGCAGAACAAAUGGAGUUUCAGUAGGAAAUUGAUCCUGUUAUCAUGUUAGUUGCUAUAAUUUUAAUAUAAACACACACACACAUGUGCGCAUGCACACACGCAGAGUAUAUAGUAGGGAAGACUGUGAUCAAGUGACCUUUGGGCCUUCUGAGUCUGCUGCCUGGGGUCUAUGAAUUAGCUGCUAAUUUUUGAUGGGCAACUUCAAAGCUUUUUCUCUCCCUUAUUGGUUUCUUUCUUUAAUUAAAAAAAACUGGAUUUGGAUUGGGCAGCCCUUCAAAAAGAGGCUUCCUUCAAUUAGAGGGCUGUCCUCUGUUAAGCAGGACACAUGGCUGCCCUCUUCCAAUUUUGCACAUUGAUUUGGCUGCAGUUUUUUUAAAAAAACCACUUCAUUAAAUGUCACAAGAUAUACCUUGCAUAAGAGUCAUUUUUUAAUUAGAUCUCCCGAAUGACACGUUAAUCCCAACCCCUAAUUACAUAUUUGCAAAAGUAUGGAUGGGAAAGAACUCAGUGAACGUAAGUUUCUUUCAAUGAAUAGCCUGAGGAGUUUAGGUUUUCAAAUAUUAACAGAUUGUAAAACUCCAUUUCAGCAUCUCUGAACUUGCUGGAGUGUUGCAAAAUACAAGUAAAUAUGCACUUACUGAGACAAGAACAACAUUCAAUGUCUUCAUCUAUGACUAAAGCAAACAUGAAUUAGUAUCUUCAUUGUCAAUCAUUAUUUUAUUAAGUGCCAAAUGAAAGCUCAGCACAAGAGCACAAGAGCAGAUAAAUACUUUGAAAAAAGUUCAUCUUCAGAUAUGCUGGGCCCAGAUAACGUUGGACUGUUAAAGGGAAUGCCAGUUCCUUAACUUGGACCUUUAAACCCACUUGAUAGCCCAAGCAAUGGCUUGAUUACUAGAGUGUUGUGUUCUUUUCAGGCAGCAACAGGCAGAAGUCUGGACCUGUUGUAAUUUCCAGACAGUUUUCAAAAGUGAGUCCACAUGCAGCGCAUUCCAGUGGCUAUUGGAACUGAAGCUGUUUCCUCCAAUUUGCUCAUUUGCAUAAUUAUAAGAAGCAGUCUUUUUAAGAAGUGCAAUUUGCACACUAAACGCCCAAAGUUCCCCACUAAGAGGAAUGCUGUGGUAGAAACUGUAGAGAUUUAGAAAUAUCAAAAGCUCUAAAAGCUUUUCCCCAUGGUGGGGGCGAGGAACACUGCAAUUUAGUCAACAAUUCUUUUGAACUGUAGCUCUUAAACAAUAGCUUUUGCAACAUACUGUGAUCUGCGGAAAUAUUUAGAGGAACAGAGGGUGGGCGGGAAUUCAUAUCUAUAAACCAGGGUUUUCACCUAUCUCCUUCCCUAAAUGGUCAGAAGAAACCCCAGAACAGGGGAGGAGGGAAAAGAGAGAAAGGAGAUUAUCCUGUCAGAUGAGCAGAAAUGCUUGCCCUGAAGGAACAAUCUCCUUAGUAUGGCACUGGAAGCACAGACCAAACUUCCAUGGCAACUUAUUCUAUUGACUUCUAUUGACUUCAAUAGAAUACUUCUUUCAGUUGCAACAAAAAAAAUUAUAGAAUGGAAAAUUUCCAUAUGCUGGAUAUCCAAAUUUGGGGCAAAUAAUUUUUGGUGUGAGAACCCCAACAGAGUUUUAAAGUCGCAAAAAUAUGCAGCCAAAUAAAGCAUGGAAAUAUAGUCUGUUAGACCUUUAAAAUAUGCCCUUUAAAGUGAGUUCCAAAAUGUGCCCUUAAAAAGUUUCUUUCAAAGUUUUACUCUUCCCCCAGAAUAGGAAAAGACCACAUGUUUGGUAAGUUAAAAAUUGGUUUGCUUGCAAAUUCUCCAUAGGUCAGAUUUGUGUGCAUCAGAAAGUUGCACAGGCAGUAGAACUUGACUUUGCAAAGUGGGGAAGCUUCCUAAAUUAUUGGUAUAGCAACACAAGAAUGGCGUGGUAGAGCUGGAACAACCAGCACAAACCUCUUCACAUGCUGAGCUUCUCUGGUAGACUGGGGCAUAAGAAAGUAUUGAUUACCUAGUUCUUCCCAAUGUGAGGGGAAGUGGAUAUAGCCUGGCAGGACAGCUUACUCUAUGGUAUUAACCCCUUCACGUGCUAAUUAGACUUUAGCAGGUUGGUUAUAUGAGGCUGGUUAUCCCACAUUUUCAAGCCUAACUUUAGUGGGGAGAGAGGUCUCUGUGAGCACCAGAUAAUUUCCCUAUGGGUACAGGUGUGCCUGCAGGUGCCCUGCUGGCAACCCUACAAGAGUUCCAUUAUUCAGAUCUCCAGCUAGCUGGAACUGGAACCUUAUAGCACUCUUCAAGCUUGGUCUCCUGGAGAAGUGAAUGGACAGAGAAGGAGGAGGUGAUGAUGGAGUACUAAAGAGCUCAUAUUUGGGACUGGUAGGCAGCCUUGAUUUGACCAAACUGCGGGAGGCAGUGGAAGACAGAAGUGCCUGGUGUGCUCUGCUCCAUGGGGUCACAAAGAGUCGGACAUGACUAAACAACUAAACAACAACAAAGGCAGCCUUGAAUCUGAGCAUUUAUAGUGAUACGGUGUGUGGCAUUGUUCUGGAGAGUGAGAAAUGGAAAGUUUUAAAUAAAAUCUUUCUUCAGGUAUAUUAUUGCAUAGUGCCAGGGGUGAGGUUUUUAAUCUCUUGGCAGGCCUGCCCCCAACCAUAAUCCCUGCCACCAGGAUAUUUACUAUAAGCAAUUAUGGACUUAAGCAAGCCAAUUACCUCUUUUCUAUCCACCCCACUUUCUUUCCCUGUCUCUGGUUUCUUUUUCUGUCUUUUUCUCAGCUGUCACCUUGACAUUCCAUACAUUCUAGGAGCUCACAUGUCCUCAUCAUGUUUACGGUGUGUGCACAAAUUAAAUACAUCUUUUAAUUUGCAAACAUAUACUUCUGCAUACUGAGAGAGUCCCUGAGUAUGUCGAAACCAGUCCCUUGUUUUCGGAUGGCCAUGCUUUGCUUAUGAACUGAUCAGCCCUCCAAGUUUAUUACUGCAGAGAAGUGAUAGUUAUAUUGUGAUUAUACUUAAGUAUAAACAUUCUAGUAAUAUUGUGUUGCUCUUCCUGCUUGUAUCUACAUUCUAUGCAUAUGUACUCGCUUUCAUUUGCAAGUUGUCUGAGCUCCGGAGGAUAUGAGAGACUGCUGAUGGGGGCAAAUCACAAUCACCAGCAGACAGAGGAGUCGACUUGGGCCCCAGGUUAUAGGUGCCCAGUGAGUGUGGCAUCAUGUUGUGACAUGAUGCCAUGAUGUUGCAUGCCCCCCCCAAGCCUCAGAAACUGACUUCCAGUAGCACUCAGCAAUGUGCCCCUGCCAGCAGGUAAUUCCAGUACUCAGAAGCUAGCUCUGGUUACCCAGAUUCAAGGUUCUUGUAUUAAUUCACAAGGCCCUUAACAACUUGGGUCCAGAAUACCUCAAGGACCAUCAUAUUCAUUAUAUCCCUGACCAGUCAUUGAGGUCUUUGGGGGAGCCACUGCUGAUGGCUCCCCAUGUCUCAGAUGCAUGGCUCACCAAAAGUUGUGCUAAUAUUAUUGGCAUCCCUUUCAGUUGAAGUCAGGCAGAUUGAACGUCCAAGUUGUUGUUUUUUAAAAAAAUCCAGUAGGCAUUUUAAUUGAAUUCUGAAUUUAUAGUUUUAACUGGAUCCUCUUCUUUUUUUUCUUUUAAUUACCUGCACACCACUUUGAAACAAUUGUUAUUAAGUAAUGUAUAAAUUGCUGAAAAUAAGAAUGAUAUAUAAUCUCUGACCUUUGGCUCUGCUGGCUAGAGGAGUUGUAGUCCAAAACAUGCAGGGCACCAGGCUGGGGAAGACUAAUUCUAGCACACUUUAGAGGCUACAUAAAUAAUGUAUAACCACAAUGUUCAUCUUUCAAUACUGGAAGCUCAGGAGGGAUUCCACCCAUAUAAUUAAAAAGUUGGGGGGGGGUUAACAAUAAUUUCUCCACCUCUUUUUUUUUAAGAGAACAUCUGUGUAUUAGCCUUUGUUCUGCAGCAGUGGUGUACUUUAAAAAGAACACACUGAGAAUUCUAUUUUACAUUCUCUUCUGAACAUUUCUGUUUCUUAGUUUCCUGCUGCUCCAAAGACAGAAGCAGACUUCAUCAGGCACUAAGUUCGGGUUGCUAACAACCAACUCGGAUGUCUUUGGCAGUUCUCCAAAAGCAGUAAUUGUUCCAUAUCCCUGUAUGCAAGACUACAGUUGUCGUUAGCACUCUUAAUAUUUUUGGACGGAAGGUAAAUUUGUAUUGUCUCCCCAUACUAAUUAGAAGUCAGAUCUUAUUCUUUUGAAAAAAAGAACAACCACAAAAACUGGAAAUACAAAUAAAAGCCGGAAGAUCAAAGCCUUCACAUUGGUGCCUGGUUACUGAUAUUAUACUGUAUGUGUCAGAGAGAAGCAUGUGACACUCACUGAUGUGGUAUGAUGGCAUGAUAAGUUGGGGGAUGCAGAGGUACUGGGCAUAGGGAAGCUAAGGGGCAGAGGACACAAAGAAUAGGAAAUUAACUGAGAAAGGUAGAUAUCAAUGUCAGAACCUGGAGGAAAGGUAGAUAUCAAUGUCAGGAGUUCAGCCUGCACUCGAAUAGGACCCUGACAGAGACACAUGCUGACUGGCAUGUUCCCUCCCUCCUGGUCGAUCGAUCGGGAGUUUCAAAAGCUUUCUUCAGCCUGAACAUCACAGUGACCGAUGCCAACCGACACUGGCACACUUAGGGAUCCGCAGAGUUUGUGCAACUUGCAUAACAGACCUCAGCAACUCAGCAUUUUGGCUAAUCUACUUUAUUUACAUAUAAACACACACGGAGCACUGCAACAUGCUCCCUCUCUCUCUAGCAUCAGACAGCAAAGAGAAAAAGAACAAAGGACAAUAGUCCCACUUCACGGAACACAGUAACACAAACAUCCUGUCUCUGUCACUUCCCACUCUGUGGAAUGAAAACAUACACAGUCGUGUGAUAGACAACAAUCCCAUGACUGUAGACACGGGGAAUGAAUCUUCAACAAUCAAUGCUUAAGGAAAAGGCUAGAGGAAAGGGGGGGUGGAGGCAGGAAUUGCCUAUUGAGAGGGUGGAUUCAGAGUUUAGUUGAGGAGUGCCUGAUGGAGAGAACAGUCUCAGUGAAGUUGGGUUAGGAGACAGAAUGAAAUAAGGAAGAGGGGGGAAUAGGCAUUGACCUGAAAAGAAGUGAUACAAGGAGCAUGAGCGCAUCCUGUUCUCAUAGUGGCCAACUAGAUGCCUAACAGGAAACAAUGAGUGAUGGAGUUUAAGAAAGAAGGGAUGAGGGAAUGAAAUAAAACUUGUGUCAUUCAGAAUGACCUCAGCUUUGUACAACAAUGCGACCGUGUGCCCCUGAGAGAAGCUCAGAGAAUCACUCUUCCUUCUUUUAAAAUUUGUUUGCCAGUGUAAUUUAUAAAGCUAUUAAUAUCAUUAAGCAUUUGUACCUUACACAAACACAGAGAUCAUGUAAUGGAGAGCUAGAGAGACAAGAUAACAAACAUAAGCACAAAUGUUGCCUAAGCAUUUGUACCUUACACAAACACAGAGAUCAUGUAAUGGAGAGCUAGAGAGACAAGAUAACAAACAUAAGCAUAAAUGCUGCCUAAAUAAAACAGAGUUCAAAGGAAUACAGAUUUUAGCACACUGGAUGUGAUAAAAGGUAAAGGUAAAGGGGCCCCUGACCAUUAGGUCCAGUCGUGGCCAGCUCUGGGGUUGCGACACUCAUCUAGCUUUAUUGGCCGAGGGAGCAGGCGUACAGCUUCCAGGUCAUGUGGCCAGCAUGACUAAGCCACUUCUGGCAAACCAGAGCAGUGCACAGAAACGCCGUUUACCUUCCCGCCAGAGCGGUACCUAUUUAUCUACUUGCACUUUGACGUGCUUUCGAACUGCUAGGUUGACAGGAGACUGGAUGUGAUAGUAACUCCAAAAGAAAAGCAAUGACCAGAGUACUAUUCACAGGAGCCAACUCAAAGGGGCUUUGGGGGCUUUGGCCCUGCAAUAAAAUAUUUGACACACACCCCCAAGUUGAUGGGCAUUGCCAUUCAAAUGGUGUGCAUGCAUCAUGUAAUGUGAUCGAUUAUGCAGGGCAGGGCUUAGCUCCCCUCCAAAAAAUAUUUUAUUCAAGUUGGUACCCCUGGUAUAAUGGCCUGGAUUCAAAAACACGGUUGCCAAGUCCAUACUUUUUAAAAAAUGAAAUUGAUACUGUUAAAUAUUGCUGGUGCUUGCAUAGAAACUAAUCUGCUUGAAUGAUGAGUGAACAGAGCUUGCCUCAAAGUUCAGCGAUUGCAAAAUUCUCCACCAUCCUUAUUCUCCAUGCAUUUCUGAGAAGGACUGAGCCAGGAGCUGACUCCAAACCCAUGAGAAUUUCUUCUUCUUCUUCUUUUUCAGUUCAUUUGAAAGGUUUUGUAAUAUGCCCCAAAGAAAGGCCCUGCUUUCUUUACAGUUGGGGGAGCAGGGGAGAAGUAGCAACCAAUGAUUUCAACAGCAUUUAUAGAUGCUGCAAGACUUGGAUUGCUCACAUAAAAUACUUGCCAGUAAAUAAAUGGAGGCUUAUUUAUUCUCUGCCCUUCUCAGCUGUAACUCCUAUUAUACAGUACAGAGAGAAAAGCAAUAGGCUGAGAAUGAAAUGUGCCUGAAAAUAUUUCUUCACUCGCCUCAGCUUUUACUUGCUCAACAGCCACUUCAAAGAAACACUGACAGACCAGCCUAAAUAGAGCGGUUGGAAGGAAAAACGGCUGGAAUCAUGUGUGUGGUAUUUUUUUCUCCCCCUUAAUCCGCCACCACAGCUGGAUUUCUCUUUGAAUUAUUGCACCAAAUUCCCAAACCACUUUUUUAUACUUGCAAGAGCCUUCAAUAGAUGUUUUGGGAGCUCUGUAGGAGCAGCUUCUGAAAAAGUAAACUCUGAAAAAACUUUGGGUUCAUGGCAGCCCUUUUGGAUUGCGGUCAUUAUAUUAUAAUGCUCUCUUUCAUUUUGCUACAAAUGCCUCUGCUUCUAACUCAACCGAAACUCAUUAAUGCAUGCUUUUAUUGUUUGGAUAAUGUACAGUGGGGAAAAUAACGCCUUUAAUUUAAACAACAGGAGCUUGUGGGGUUGUUGUUUUUCCACUGCAUUGUCCUUGUGGCUAACGAAUCAUUUUUUUUUAAGUCAAAACAUUAUUAAGAAUUCAUCAGUUGAGGGGAAAACUUUUUUUAAAAAAAGGUUCACAUGGAUUUCUCCAGCACAGACUCUGAAUGUAGAAGAACUGGAAGUUGUACUCUAAAAGAUCUCUAAGGUACUGAAUUUAUUUUAUUUUUGACCUAUGCUGGGAUGCCAUUCCAUUAAAAAGUAUCUCAGGGUGGCAUACCAUUAAAAAAAACAGUAAAAAAAAGCACUGCAAAAAUUAGACUUCAGAAGUAGCAAUUAAAUUCAGCAGAACAGAUAAAGCCAUGAUCAAGACUAGCUCAUGGUAUGUGCUGAAGUGCCAGGGCAAAGAAAAAGGAUGCUUGCCUGAUACUAAAAUGACCUCAGAGUUGGCAAAUCUGAGCUUUCUUUGAGGAAGGCACAGAUAGGUAAGAGCAAGGGGGGAUUAAACCAGGUACUAUGGCACCAGGUCCCAUGUGCCUAACCCAACUUUUCCGCAAGGGAAGCUGUCAGGCAGAGGUCUCACCCCAAUUUGUGCUGCCCCUGCAUGGCCAGAGGAGAAGGUGUUGCACCUAAACCCAGCCCGAUCGGGUCUGGGUUGCUCUGUGUAACCACUGGUCCACACUUGGUUCAUCAGUGUGCAGUGAGUAGCCACACAGACUCCCUUACUUUGCUUUUCCUUGCCUUACCCAGAAAGCCAGCACUGCCUUUGACAAUUGCCAUCCAUCCCAAGCCUUUCAAGGAGCCUCUGCUGGAUCAGAGCCAUGCAUUUUAACUGCAACAUGUGUCGGGUUUUUUCUUUCCAUUAUCAGCCCCAAGGAUCCUCAGAUUCUCAAAGGGAUUGGAUCCUUACUCUGGGAGCUUGGAUACCCCUACAGGUAUGUGUAUUUUCCCUCACUCACUCUCCCUUUGCUCCACCUUCCCACCCUCCUCCUGGUUUGCAACUAGGAUUAAGAGCCCUUACUCUACUUACUGUAGUUCCUCUUUCAGGACUGCUCCGCCAUCACGGUUUCCUCAGAGGCAAUGCUAUCCCCUCUUGGGUUCCCUCUGUUUCACCCUUUCCUUUCUCCUUUCCUAUUUCUUCCUCAAUUUUCUCUUUCCCUAAUGCUUGUUCCCCCUUUUUGCUCCCUACUGCUUGUAUUCCACGGGCUCAGCAAUGACAUUCCUUUUGUCACUUCCUGUAGGAGUGCCACAAGGUUUCAAAUACCAUAGCCUCACCCCACAGCUUCAUUUCUGGCCUAGAGGGCAGGUACACUUUCUAUGCUCUUCCCAACAAUUAGCUUUAUAAAAACAAUAUGGAUAAAAUCCAAUACAUAGCAGCAGGUCACACCAAAUAAGGCAAGCAAAAAACACCCCACACCCCUUUCUGUCAUUAGCAAAACGUGAUGCCGCUCUCUAUUCAGGUUAGAAUAGAAUUCAGAAGUAACCGGCCCGUGUCGGCUGUUGCCAUAAUAAAAUGGUAAAAUAAAUAAUUGAAGCCAUGUCCUGUGCAGUCGACAGUGAGAAGUGAAAGGGCUUGCGGGGAACUCUCAGGAGAAUCCAGCCAUGCCAAAAGAGAACUCAGAGAGGAUGAGGCAUAUGUUGUAUGCCUCGUUUGAACUCGAAAAGAAACAGAAAACCCAGCUAUAUUCACACCAGUCUUUAAAUAUUUAAGGAAUAAAUGCCAAAAGAUCUAGGAAGAAGGAGAUACUGACUGCUUGGCAUUUUGGACACAAGACAAAGAUUUUUUAAAAAAGAGUUACUUUGUAAGAUGAAAAAGAGAUUAAGAAGCAUGAGGUAUUUAGCAGGUAUGAGGUAUUUGGGCAGGAGAGUGGUGAUAAGAUGGGAUAUUAAACUGUAUUGAUUUAAUCUUACUCUUUAUUUUUGUUAGUAUUUUAAAAAUAUACCUCCUCAGUUAUUAGCAUCCAAAGGCACAUGGAGUCAGAUAUUAAGAACUUAAGAAGAGCCUGCUGUAUCAGGCCAAUGAGCAAACAUAUCUGUGUGUAUUCAGAAGAUGGGGGGAAGAACAAUGGCUAUGUGUCUUAGGGGAUUGUGACUGAAGACAGUCUGUGGGCAGAGACAUGGCAUUCAGGGGAUGGCAGAGGGAGACUGGCUUUUCAUUACGCUGACCUUGAAUGUGUCUUAUCAGAACCAACAAAGGAAAAGGAGGAUUCCUAUUGAAUACAUGAUGGAUUAUCGCUGUCCAUCAGCUACUCAUACUGCUUAUCAAUGCAGUUGACUGGUCACUAUUUUAGCUCUAAUGUUAUUUGGCAUAGUCUGGUUUGUUUUUGUGUUUUGUUUUUGCAUUUCCUUUCCUUCUGACCUCACUACAUACACUCCUCUCUCCUUCCCUGUCUCUCUCCCUCUCUUUCAAUCUCUACAUCCAUGUGUGUGUAUACUUGCCAGCUUAGUGUAACAUUCCAUAAAUCCAAAGUCCAAAAAAGGUUCUACUAGGGAAGCUAACGUGGUGCCCUCAAGAUACUAUUUGACUCUAACUCUCAUCACCCCCAGCCACCAUGGAUAAUAUUAAAGGAUGAUGGGUAAUGUAGUCUAGCAAGAUCCAUAGGGCAUCUACCCCUAGCUUAUACCAUAAUAAAUGUGUUAGACUUUGGGAAGUCACAAGUUAAUUUCUCAUGUCUGCUGCAACAAAGUAAACAUAAUUGCUCCACUACAAACCAUGUCGUAUACAUUACUCUUAGACGAAAGCCCCCGUAUUCCAUCCCUUUAUCAUCAGUAUUGUUAAUUGGUAAUUGGUACCAUGCCCAACCUCCCUGGUUAUGAAAGAAUGACCUACCACAAUGGAAGCUGAACUGCUAAGGUAGCAUUAUGUGUAAUGGUGCCCAUGUUCUUUCAACCCAUAAGUAAGGGGCUACAACAAAAGAAAGUGCAAUUCUGUCUCUUUUACUUUGCUGAAAAACCUUGAUUUCACUUCUCAGUUCCAAUGGCCUAUGCCUACCCUUCAAGAAAAUCAAGAUAUUGGAUUCAGUAACUGCAUUCUGUUAACAAAGAAAAAGGAGGAAAAAGAAGGCAUCCCAUCAAAGUCAUAAUUCCAGCCUUUUGCACAAGAAGCUUUAAGCUACCUUGCCACCCUAGAGUAUUAAAUGACAUAUUGAGAGUCUGGGAAUAUUAAAGUCAGGAAGAGGAUAGGUGCUCUACAAAAUCCGAAAGAUCAAACUCUUGAUUUGAGGAGUGGAAAGUAGAAGUUGAUAACAAGUGACAAAAACUCUUGGCAAUUUAUUUUCCCUUCUCUAAGAAAAGGGGCUUUGCCCACUGUGCUUUGUCUCUCCCUCUCUUUCCUUGAAAAGCCAGUUCUUGACAUCCUGUAAUUAGCACUACACAGCACUUGAGGCAGAAAGAAUGUAAUCGACAAUAAUUACUUACAGCAGAACUGAAAAAAGCCCUCCUAUAGUUAUUACUACCACUAAGCCUUACUGAGUCAUUUAAAAAGCAGUUUAGAUUUUAAGCAACACAACAACAAGUGGGGAGGUGGGAUGAGAACAAAGAGGGAAGGAAAUGUCAAGCUUCAAAUAUUCUUAUACCUUAGGGCUAAACUAGAUAUUACAUGCAAAUGCAAGGACUAUUACCCCCCCUUUUUUAAAAAAAAACAGGAAAAUGUUCCUGUUUAAACAUCAACUAGUUAGGUAAGGUUAUAUUCAUCUGCCAGCAGUGUCUUCUGUGGCACCCAUCUGGGAUGAUGAAUGGAUGGAAGGGUGAUAAACAUGCACAGGUAAAGCUCCUUGACCAACAGUUAAAUGAUGUGUGAGGUUUUGAGAUAUCUGGGAUCAUCUACACUGAAGAGGGAAAAAAUUAAAAGUAAAUUACCUGUCAUCAAUUAUGUCCAUGCAAAUAUUCUGGAUGCACAGUAAUUGGAAGUGGCAAAUAUUAACUUCUGGGCACUGAAUCUAUAUUAGUAAGAAUUAUGGCAUACAUUUUAUUUGGUCCUGCAUUAGCACAAAGGAUUGUGCAGUUCCCAACAGAGCCGAUCUAAAUGUAGACUCUUAACUGUAUAUGCAAACAACUCAAUCCUCAAUGUCUUCCCUCUCUUUGAUUAGCCAAUCUUGCUAUGCCUCUCGCUGGCAUGCCAAUAUUCCUAGAUUUAAGCUGUAAAUUCCACUGAACACAGUGGCUCUUACUCCCAAGUAAACAUGUAUGGGAUUAAAGUGUCAUUGUGGACUCUGGGUGUCUACUUAGUGGAAAUUGUAAUGGAGAACCCUGCUAUUCCAGCAUUAAUUUGUUAUGAUCAUGGUCACUUUCACACAUUCCAAUAUUUUAUUCAAAACAAUCCAACCACAUUUACAAUUCCACAUCCCUAGUGAUACCAUUGUUUUUCUCUGUAGCAUCUUAUCAGGUUUGAUUUUCUGCUUCUUUAAUGUUAUCAUCAGGUUCUUAUCGCCUGUCGCUUGUGAUUCAGCAAAAGUUUUAAGCAGCUUGCACAAAGCAGAACAGAAUUUUUGUAUAUUUUGUAGGCUGCUUCAAGGCCUGUUUUGGCAUUAAGUGAUAUAUAAAUAUAAUAAAAAUGAUGAUGAUGAUGAUGAUGGAUUUCUCUUUCUUUUAAAAUGUUGGUAACUUAAUUUAACUUGAAGUAGUUAUUUCUAAAUUUGCAUCUAUAUAAAUCAGGCUAUGCAAUUUUAUCUGAACUUAUAUUCUCAUGUCUUUUUGUGUGAUGCAUUCUCACCUCCUCCACAACAGUUUGAGGUACAGGGUAGAAGGGUGCGGAAGAAGUGGGGGAGGGAGAAAAAACUCACAAAAAUCUUAUCUAGGAAAGUUUAGCUCAGACAACACUCAAUGAAAUGAUAUUGUUGGUUUAUGCGGAGGAAGACUGGAAGGAAUAGCAACCAAGCCCAUUACUUCUUUCAGCAACAUUAGCAUCACAAUUCUAUAUAUGACCACUCAGAAAUAAGCUCCAUUGUGUUGCGUGAGACUUACUCACAGGUGAGUGUGAAACGACUGUAGCCUAUAUAUAUUUGGAUCCACAAUCCUAUCUGAAAUUUUCUACCCUAUUCAUAGACAGGAAAGUUGGGGGAGAGCAUUUUGCCAAAUAUUCUCUAAUGGGGGCAAGGGCUGGAAAAGAAAUUGUCCAACAUUUUUUGAAGGUUGGCAAAAAAGAAAAUCGGUUUAUGAGAAAAUUAAGCCUCACUCUACAAGAGUGGCUACACUGUUCUCAAAAAUGCGGGGAAUGGCAGCCUGGAAGAGGGCAUUCUGUAUGGCAGCCCCUAAAUUAUAAAAUGCCCUCACCACAGAAAUCCAUGUAACAUCUUCAUUGUAGAGCUUCUGCCUUAUGCUGGAGGUGUACCUCUUUACCCUGGCCUUUGACUGCCAAGGUAUUUUGUUUUGUGAGCUCCACCUCUUCUGUUUUGUUGACUCUGAACUGUGCUACUUUUGCUUAGAAUUGUUUCACUUGUUCAUUGUAAUUGUAUAUAACCUGAUUUGCUUCUUUUAUUUACUUCUAAGUGUAUGGUUAUCGCUGUAGCCCAUCCAAGGACCAUACGGUGAAGGGCAGGUAAGAAAUCUUAUAAGAAAUUGAAUAGAUAAAUAAAACAUGCUGGCAUAAGGGAAGCAAGAGGCAACAACGCACAGCCAUCAGAUUGGCUAGGCUGGGUCCUUUGCUUUGCUGGAUUCUUUAGUCUGCCCCAAGGUGGUAGCGUCAUAGCACCCUCUCUCUUAUCUGAGGCAGGACUCCGGCUCAGUGGUAGAGCAUCCACUUUGUAUGCACAAGAUCCCAGUUUCAAUUCCCAGCAUCUCCAGUUAGGGCUGGGAGAGACCCCAGUUGAAACGCUGGAAAGCCAAGACCAGUCAGUGUAGAUGAUACUAAGCACGCUAGACCAAGGGUCUGACUUGGUAGAAGGCAACUUACAUUCUUGUGCUCGCUCUGCACCAUUCAGGAGGACUUGAAGCAGUCAGCAGUUUCACUUCCAAGCCAACACCUUUCAAACCUAUAUUUCUUUGGCCCUGAGAACAGUGUUCACUCUCGUUUCCUGGAUGCCGCCUAAUGUUAUGCAGCGCCGGUCAUCCCACAUUAUGUCAUGUUAUGUAGCAGGUCAGCAGGAACUGUCAUGUUCAGAGCUACCUGGCAUUUUUGCCAAAUCAUUUGGCACAUCUCGCUUUCUCAUCAGCUUGAAUUAUGUGUAGAUCAUCUCAGUCGCUCCAGAUAAUUAUUGGCCUCCAUUCAAGCAAUGGCAGGGGAGCCAAGAAAGCACUCAGUAGUCUUUCCCAUCUAUAAACUGCAGAAUAUACGUUUUCAGUUUCAACAAUAUAUAUCUAUGUCAACUCAUUCCCUGUGCUGUUUUGGCAAGCAGGUCUUCUCUCUCUAAGCAAUACUGCAGUACAAAAACAACAACUAAAAUAUGGCAAAACAAGAGGGGUUUGUUUGAAAUCAUCUGAAGUCCCUUUCCACCCAUCCUGCAUUGCAAUGAGGACUAGCGGCCAAAGGGUUGGAUCCGCCUUCUCCUUUCCAGCUUUGUCAUCCUGCCACCUCCUCUCCAUCCGGCCUUCUCUUAAUGCCCUCCAGCUCCAUCCUGUGCAUGCUAAUACAAACUCUUGGCAUUAAGAGCUGUUUGACAGGGGAACAGGCUCCCACGAGAGGUGGUGGACUCUCCUUCCUUGGAGGUUUUUAAGCAGGGGUUGAAUCACCACCUGUCAUAUAUGAUCACCAAUUGUGUUUCUUGUCCGCCAAGUCCUAUAGUUUUACUAUUUGCCCACCAGUGCAUAGCAGUUGCAACAAAGUGGUGAAAAGUUAUACAUGUAAUAUAGAAUGUCUCCAGCGCAAAGCAAGGAUUAGCCCCAAAUUCAGUUGGCUAGUCAGGCUCAUGCUUCCUGUUCUAAUAUGGAAAAGACAACCCUGUUCUUCCUUAUAGGAUUGCUCUGAAAAUCAUUGUGCAAAUGUUAGUGGUACUAACUGAUGUUCUUACUCACCUGGCUUGGAAUACCAAAUUGCCCAAUGUUUAUCUGAAUUAGCAAACAAGUGUUAUAGGAGAACAAGAUGCACAAAUACCUUGAAUUUUAUUCCAGAGCAACUCAGGUUGGUCAAACCAUCGCACAAGUGCUAUAAAGCAGGCAAAGUGUACCUCCUCAACAGUAGCUCACUUUUAUUUUCAGAAAAGGAAAAGGAAGCAAGUGUUGUCCAUCCCACAAAAAGUCUGCCUCCCUCCCAGUUUAGAUCAUAAUCCAAACCAGUUCACUUUCCCCCUGACUACUUCUAUGGUAGCAUCCCAGAAUAUCUGAUCAAUGUAAUCUUCCCAGGGUGCCUGAAGAAAUUCAAGAGAGUGUAUCACCAAGGGUUCCUUGCCCCUGGGACACUGUUGAGCCUACCUAAAAGUCAAAAUACCCUUGUCUGGGGCCUCUAUUUCAUUCCUCAAUUUAUGGGGCUUUGUUAUGGUCAUUCAGUGGGAUGGUGAGGACACUUUUCACAGUCUCAAAAAUACUCUCUUCUGUAUUGUUAUUUCAUAGGUUCCAGAGCUAAAAACCUAAUGAGUGAUUAACUUCACCUUGAUCAGCUUGGAUCAAGGGCAUCCAAAUGUUGAUGUAUUAAUGCUGUGUUCCCUUUCUGAAAGUGUCAGUCACUGAUCAGUCUUCACUGCACUACAUAGCCACACAAUGAGAAAGAUUUGAUAUACGUGUGUACAUCAGGGACCACUAACUGGGUAAGACAAGUAAGAGAAAGUAACAAAUAAGGUACGUCAAUCCCUGACACUACAUGGCUUCAGGCAACUGAUAGAAAUAUGACUAUUCAAAAUGGUCUUUGGCUGAUUAAGCUUUUUUGGUGGUGGGAUCUGGUGCUAGAAUUAUUGCUAUAAUGUUUUUUCCCCAUUUAAUUGCUUUUUAAUUAAGGUGUUUAUUUUGGCCUUUGGUUUCUAUUUUGAAAUACUGCUUUGUAUUGUGACUUGUUAGCUGCCUUGAAUUCCUCAGCCGGUAGGAUCAGAGUUUGUUAAAAUAAAUAAAAAUGAAAAAUACAAAGAACCAGUUGAAAGGAGGAACAGUGCAGAUCAGGCUCUGAUUUAACUUACGGCCAGCAAGAAAUAUAAAACACAUACACGCAAAGCAUACAGACCAUUAUUCUCUUUGAAAGACAAGUCCAUGCAAACCUACUCCUAAGGAAGCUCCAAAAUGGGCAAUGGGGAUAUGGAAAGACAAUUCCUGAAUCAAAAAGAAAUAGACUAGACUGGAGGCAAAGGCAGUGAAUCGUGUGCCUCUCUUGAUUCUGCAGGUCUUGUACAGAAUUCAAGGAAUGAAAGGGCUAGGGAUUAAGGACUGCACAGAGAGUUUACAAAUGCCCAUAGAUCCACACAAGGGCAGCCAGGGACAUCCUAAUAUAACUGUUGCCAUAUUGAAAGUAAAGCAUUGUGGGACUAGAAACUAAAGUGGCGUUCAGGAGGCAAUAGAUUUGACAUGUAUACCGGUAUUUACGCAAAAUAAACAAACAAAAAAACAGUUUCCAGUCACCUCCAUUACACAGGAUUUAGAAGCUUGGAAUGCAAACAGGCAACAACAGUAAUUUAUUACCACUUAAGGGCUUGGGUCAUAGUGGUUAAAAAACAAGAAUUAUGGGUGGCAUCCAUACAAAUAAAACAUAGUAAAAGAGAUAGGGCCACUUAAGUUGCUAAGGAGAUAUAUAUAUAUAUAUGCAAUUUGGGUAGCAUCACCAUCUAUCAGUUGCAGCCUGCGGCAUUUUAAACACCGUAUCUCUUAUCUGCAGCACUUACAGACUUUACAAGGGACAGAAUUAUCUCUGUCUAACCACUGUAUAACUUUUUGCUGUUCAUGAAGAUGAGGAAAUCUGGAAUGAGACAAGGAACCGAGUAACUUUUCUGUAAUUUAUUGUAUAAAUUGAAGUUUAGAAGGGAAUGUGGCAAUUCACAAUCUCCUUGCUGCACACUCAAUGACACAGGAAAUAGUUGGCUUACACAUAUUGCCUUCAAGUAUCGCAUCACAUAUGACAUGAGAUCUGAAUGCUAGCAUGCUCUAUGGAGCCUGCCAGCAGGCCAGUCUCAAAUAUGAUUUUCAAAAGUAUUAGAUCAGGGAUGGGGAACCUGUGGCCCUGCAGAUGUCUUGAACUACAACUUCCAUCAGUCAGCAAGGCCAAGGAUGAUGAGAACUGGAGAGAGAAAGGUUGAGGGAAAUGCAUAGCUGGGGUGGAGAGAGAUUCUGCAGAAAUUAUCACUGAUAAAUUGUAUGCUCAUAUCCUCUAACCCCUGCUUAACCUGCCAAUCAUCUUAGAAUCAUCCAUGUCAGAGAUCACUAGCCAUUGCUAAACCAAAUUGACUGUCUUUCCAAACAAAUAUAUCUCUGGGUUGGUUCCUUCAUACGGUCAUCUACCCAUGGUCACAUUUAUUGGUUUUAGCUGGAAGUUUAUUACCCUCAAACUAACUAAGGCUUAAAGUAAUAAAAUAAAAUAUUUAAGGGCCUAGCAGUGCAAUCACAAUUAGUAAGUUAUGCAUAGGAUUGCAGUCUACAUCCCAUGUUUAUUCAAUCAAUGAUGUAUGUUGUACCGUAUUGGCCCGAAUAUAAGCCAUACCCACAAAUAAGCCACACCUUUAAAAUUCAAAGGGGGGAGGAGACAAUACCCGAAUAUAAGCCACUCCCUUAAAAUUAUGCAGGCACUCACACCCAUAAAUGGCAAACAUAGAAGAAAAUCCGAUGGGUACCAUUCCCCCGUGCUCCUGGCCUGCUUCCUGGGGGGGGGGAGCCACGCCACUUUACCAGCAGCCUUCCCCCCUUCCCCCUUCUUUCCGGCAGUUUGGGGGAGGUGGGCAGGCUAUGCGCCAUUGCCCCGUGCUCCCGGGCUGCUCUGGGGGGGGGGGAACCGUGCUGCUUUGCUGGCGGCAUAAGGUUGCAAAUAUAAGCCGCACUUUAACUUUUCACGUUCAGAAUUUAGGGGGGGGGAGUGCAGCUUAUAUUCGGGCCAGUACAGUAUAUCAAAAAGUAUGUUGUACAGAAAUGUUGAGUGUGGGCUCCAGUUUGGCCUUUAUCAAGGUUUAGAAUGGCCCUAAUUUGCUAUUUCUGCUGCAGCAGUAGACAUCUGAACCCUCAAAUGUGCCUGUCCUUAAACACCCUACAGCUUAUUGUUCUUCUCAUUUGCUAAUAGGUUACUAAGAAUACUUCCAAAUAUAUCCUUUCAUGUGAGCCUCCUGGAUCCUAAAUUUGGAAGGCGGCAUAGCAAUUAUCUCUGCUAAAAUCUUCCUGCAUUGUGACGUAAGUAAACAUCCCCUGAACAGCUUCCAUAAAAUGUUGCCACUCACUUUAAGAGCUUCUCCACAUAUCUCCCACCAAUCUCCCACCCUCGCAACAUUGCAUUUCCUACACACACACACACACACACACACUGUAGGGAAUCCGAUUAAUGAAAUUUCUGUACAGUAGUACUACAUUGUGGUUUGGGGGUCAUUGUUUGUUAAUAGUCUUUGAUUUAGACAUUUUGGUCUAGAAGGUACAUUUUAAUUAAAAUACAGAAUUGGAGUAAAAAAAUCUAAGUGAAAUAUAAGGGGCCUGUUUUAGAAAGACUCACAGUUCAAUCCCAUGCAUGUAUAAGUCCCAGUGAGUUCAAUCGAGGAUUCACUGGAGAAAGCCAUAGGAGUCGAAAAAAGAUUUAUAAUACAGGUAUUAGCAUAGAGUCCUGGAUGGCAUAAAUGUGUAGGCAUUUGUAUAAUAAAAGACAAAGCAUUGCAACCUUCACUAUUUGACUUUCAGUGGAAGGGAUAUGUUUCCAAUAAAUUAAUUUUGAGAAAAGUUCAUAAGACUCCUGUCACUCAUAUGGGAUGCCUCAUGACUUUUCUUAGAAUUAGGCAAAUGAUUUCAACUUCCUACUGCAUGAGUCAUACCAAAUGCCUAAUUUAAGAUCUAACUCACCUGUUUAAUGUAGUUUCAAAAGUGAAUGUCCAAAAUGUAUGGAAUGUUGAUAUUCACAUGGGAAUUCCAGAAAUGCAGGUCAAUCAGAGGGCACUCUACAGACAACUUGGGGAUAGUGACAUCCCGGAAAUCUCUGAGCUUCCCUUUCACACUCUGUGACUGCCUUGUCAGAUGCCGUGUUGUCAUUCUGCAGUUGAAAGAAUUUCAUUUUGUCAUGAAGGUUCAUCAAUUGAUUAAAAUGCCCUGCAUAUGUGAAGCUGUCAUUACAGAUCAAAUAUCAGAGCCCUCCUGUCACCUAAGAUCAUCUCAAACACAGUAUUUGCAAAUGAAAGGAUCAGCAACUCAUCAAGUUCUGUUGAGUAACUAAACAAUAAGACCUCAUCCAAUGAUGCACGUUUGUAUGAAUCAUACUGGGCAUCAUGGCAGAGUGGGAAAUAUCAGUCCAAGCUGAUGUUGGGAAUUCCAUUCCACCCUUGCUGCAGAUGUAUGGGAUUGUUACAAGUCACAUGUCUGUUUACAUUCCAGCACUGAUUGUUGGAGUCUCGUGAGCGAAAAUUGAGAUACGCUGUUCAAUAUAGGUAUUGCUUUUGCAGUUCUCUCUCCGAGGAAGAAAGACAGAGGGGAAAGCCAUCUUUUCUUUGUUCUGUUACGUUUGAUUUUGUGCGCAAUAAAUUAGGCUUAGAUGUUACAGCUCAAGGCUCAGCUUCUUUUUGGACUGUGCUAGUUGUGGGCUCAUGUCCUUGGAUAUGGGUCUUUGAGAUCUUUAGGAAAGGCCUUCCUCUAAGUCCCCCACCCCACCCUCACAGGCAUGUAUGAUACAGACAAGGGAGAGGGCGUUCUCAAUGGCUGCUCCCAUGCCCUAGAGAAGCUAAACUGGCUCCCUCCCUUGUUCUCCUUCCAUAGGAAAGGUGAAGAUUUCCUUGUUCCAACAGACUUUGAGGAUUGACUGCUGGUGCUAGGCAUAGAUGUGUGUAUGUGGGUGUGUUGUAUUUAAUUAUUUUUCAUUAUUGUUUUCCCCCCUGUGUUUUUAGCUUAUUUUUACCUGUAAGCUGCCUUGAGUCCCUGUCAGGGGAAAAAGUGGGGUAUAAAUACAUAUAUAACAACAACGUCAUCUCUGCCCACCCACUGUCAGACUAACUAUCCCAUGUUGUGCAAAUAAGGUUAUCAAGGGGACUUAGACCCACUUUCCCUUGAAAAAUAGUAGAAGCCUCCAUGUGAUCUGGAGCUCUCGAAAGGAGGGUGAAGGUCACUUGCAGAGGGAGGGAGAAUGGGAAUUCUUGUCACACUUAAGUUAGUCCUUGAGCUUCUGAGACAAAUCGGUAUAAUAACAAACCCUGAAUGUAGUGAGGUUGGGGAACUCUGGUGUAAACUGUAUGCUAAUUCAAUAUUAUAUUCAUUCCUAAAAUGCCUGGCUUGUGCCAACUGAAAAUAGUCAAACUCAGUAAGCACUUCAGCUCAUUUUUAACUUUAAGUAUCUGAGUUGUCCCAUUGGAUUAAGCCUUCCAUUAGCACACAGUUGACAGCUAAAUUAAAUGACUACUUUGAAGGGGGAGGAGAAUCCAUAAAGCAAACCCGUCCACCAGCAAGUAAUACCUAACACCAAAUAAUCACUACCUGAGUUAUUGAAGCAUAGAAAAGAAAAGCACUUCCCCUUAAAACAUCACAUUCAUUUCCAAGAUCAAUUAAGAUAUUCAAUCAGUAUGCACAGCAGAUUUUGGCGGCCUCCUUUGUGCAUAGUGAAAUCAUAAACAUAGGCAUUUACUCACCCGCAAAUGGCAAAAUCUGCCCUUGCUUGAGAAGGAUUGCACUAAUAAUGCAGAAAACUGGCAGAAUUAAUCCCCUCAAAAAUUACAAACAUGCCUGAAAAUUGUAUCCAAUUCUGGCAGAAAAUUUAAAGUCAGAGAUUUUUUCUUUUAAAAACAAAACAUUGAAAGGUUUCCUGCAUGAAAGCCCCUGCAUGGAUCCCAUGGGGAGAUCAGGGUGCCCUUUGCCUAGAAAUUAACAACAACAACAACAACAACAACAACAACAACAACAACAACAACAACAAAAUGUAUAUGCCACCUUCAUCCAUAGAGCUCAGGGCAUCACAAAAUAAAAUUACAAUAUAAAGACCACAAAAUACAUAGUAAAAACAACAACAACAACAGACCGAUAAUCCCAUUUAAAAGGGCAUCAGAUGUCAAUCAGCCAAAAGCCUAGUAGAAGAGGAAUAUUUUUGUCUGCUGCCGAAAGCUGUAUAAUGAAAUUCUAUCCACAUCUAUGAAGGAAGGAAGUUACAGCUGUUUUUAGAUUCCCCAUUAUAGUCAAUAGCAGGGAGUGUUUGGCACUGCCCAGGUAUUUUUCGAAACCAAAAAAUGUUGUUGAUUUGAGUUGGACCUGUCACACCCAAAAUCAGGUGAUAUCAAUCUAAUACCAUAUUUUGGUCUGCCAUCUUGAUUCAAAAUGGUUCCUGGCAUCCAAACUUUGACAAAGACUGCCCCUCCACCUUGGCAAACCUUGUGCUGAAUUUGGCAAUGAUAACUUAAGAGGUGACCAAACCUAUGUCAAAAAACUGGCAAAGUCACGCCAAAGUGAUGUUUUGGUCUGCCAUCUUGAUUCUAAAUUGCAGCCACAUCCAAAUGUCAAUGAAGAAUGCCACACACACACCUCAGGAAGCCUUGUGCCAAGUUUGGUGAUGAUAUCUUGAGGGGUGUCCAAACAUAUAGAGAAUGAACAAAUUGACAGGCAGAAAGACAAAACCCUUUUGAAAAUAUUUAGUAGGUGGAAGAAAACAGAGCUUUGAUUUAAAAAUAAAGAAAAUAUAACUGAAAUCCUAAACAUAUUUAUCAAAGAUUAAAUCCCAUGGAGCUAAGUAGGUCCUAAUCCUGACCCAAAUGUAUAUUGAAUUAAACUAUUCAUGGGCUACCAGCAAUUCUCAUUUUGUAUAACUGAUAUGCAUUAAGAUGCAACUAGAACUGUUAUUAGAAUCAUGUUUUGAAUGCUCACAAAUAAUAUACAGCUUUGAUGGAUACAACAAAUUUCAUGUAUUCUUAUUAUAACGCAUUUCAACCUAAGUUUACAUUUUUAAAUAUGUUGUAAAUCACUUGGAGACCUUAUUUAUGUAGCAAGCAACAGACAAUUUUAAAUAAUGUUAGUUGGCAGCACUUCUUAACAUAAGAAUAGAUUGCUUUGAGGAGCUGUAAUAGCACCUGAGGUAAAUCUUGCUCCUGUGCAUCUGGAUUUAGCUUUUUAUUAGACAUAUGUCUUACCAAAUAAAUGCAGCAAACAAGUUAGUUCUUAAAGCAAGUUGUGAGCUCAGUGCUGGACCAUGUAAGAAAGCCGAAAAGCACCCUCCUAUCUGGAUAGGCAGAUGGCCUCAGCAUGCCUUCAUGCUUGGUCAGGUGUUAUUAAUCUAUGACCAAAAGAGCAGGUGGCUGACAGAUAGUGCAAGAACAUUCCACAAAUCAUUUGGAGAUCCAGCAAGGAUGGGGGGAAAUGAUUAAAUAUAUAUUCCUUUUAUUAAUUUUUAAACAGGAAGAUCCAAAAUUGGAAGGGUAGAAAAUAGCAAUAUUUGGACAAGAAGCAAAAGAAAUUGCAUGCCACAGCUUUUCAAUUACAUUUUGCCAAAUAAGUAAUACGGUGGCACUGUGGGUUAAACCACAGAGCCUAGGACUUGCCGAUCAGAAGGUUGGCGGUUCGAAUCCCCACGACGGGGUGAGCUCCCAUUGCUCGGUCCCAGCUCCUGCCAACCUAGCAGUUCAAAAGCAUGCCAAAGUGCAAGUAGGGAAGGUAAACGGCAUUUCCGUGUGCUGCUCUGGUUCGCCAGAAGCGGCUUAGUCAUGCUGGCCACAUGACCCGGAAGCUGUACGCCGGCUCCCUCGGCCAAUAAAGUGAGAUGAGCACCGCAACCCCAGAGUCGUCCGUGACUGGACCUAAUGGUCCCUUUACCUUUAAUAUGGACAGCCUUUUGUUUUAUCCAGGGUAAAUCCAGGGUAAAUGGAUCAAAUAGGUGCUGAGUUGAUGGCCAAUAGUCCGGGUGGUUGGCAUUCUAGUCAAACAGCAUCUGGAGGGCCACAGUUUCUGCAUCCCUGGACAGAGAUACUUCUUCACAGAAACAGUGGGAUUUGGAAGAUGUGAGAGAUGUGGCCUCUCAAAGUUGGCCUUUUGUGAAUUGUGAAUUUCAAAUGUAAUACGUGGCUUCAUUGUUUUGGCAAUCCAAAUUGGUUAUCAUGUCUACAAAAGUGGGGUAUGAAUGCAAUAAGUAAAUGAAAGAUGCACAAAUAAAUCCAAAGCUAAUAACUGAAAAGCCUCUUCCAUAUUAUAUUUGGAUCCAAGCAGAGAAGCUGCAGUCCUUAAUACAGUUCCUAGGAAGUGAGCCACAUUGAAAACAGUGGGACUUACUUGAUAAUUUGGACUUAUUCAUGGCAAAUUACUAGUACAAAAUUGUUAGUAUAGUUUUGCAAUAAAUAUCAAUAAAUUGGUGCCACUUAUCAUGGAUUGGCCCUACACUUCUUUACUGUUUUAACACUGAACUAAAUUAGCCAACUUUUCCAUUUCAGUAAUGCACAGUGCUUUCUUUAACUACUCCAUAAUCAAAGGAUCAAUGCCUUAGGUGAUUUUCAGCUCCUUGCCAGAACAAUUUCAUCAGAAACCUACAGAACACUGACCAGCAGUCUUAAUAACAAUACCACACUGUUUGUAUUCAUCAACUAAAACACCCAUUAACUCUUCCACAGAAAAUGCAAAUAGAUCUGUAUGAUUUGGUCACCAGUCCGCUCCAUCAGUCCAGAUAUGCCACCCUUAAUGAAAACUGCACUCGAAAGUGGUGUCCUCAUCGCCACCACCUGCAGUUCUUUAAAACAAGCAUUCUCAAUGUAACUUAGAGGUGACUGAGUUUCCUAAGACCAAAAAUCAUCACACAUUAACACAGAAAUUUCUCAAAGCAAACCCAAGUUAAGAAAGAUCAUUUGUUCAGUUUGCUUCUUUUUAAACGCUGUAUCUGUCUGAGGGAUUUUCCCCACCUACCCCCAAAUCCCCUGCUCAAUAUAAAUCGAUUCUCCUUCAGUGCACAUAAACUGAAUCUCAAUUCCCAACACAGAAAAUGGUGACAUGAGAGAAGAAGACAGAAGCCCAGGGUGAGAGGUGGGGAUCAGUGAUAACAGGUUGAUCCUGCUUCAGUAACUAAAGCCCUAAGCAAUAGCACUCCAGCUGAUUUAAAAAUACCUCUUCAGAGGCACUUUUCAGGCAGAAAACAAUAGUUAUAAGGGGGCAGAGGGACAGUUUCAAUAUGCCACUUUUUAAAAACACUGAUGUACUCUUGUAUUAUCUCACCAGUCCCAUUUGGGACUACAUGGCCUCCAUGGCAACCAUGGGGCUGUCUUGAUGAAUCAUUGACCGGACACAUAGAGCAGGACUGACCCUCAAUUCUACUCGGUCCCUGGUGCUGUGUUUAGUGGUCUGGAAAUAAGGAGAGGGGAUCUGUGCCCCCCUGUUCAUGGUAAGAUUACCCUCUGUCAGAGUUUCCAAUUUCCCUCAGGGAAUCGAUUUGGAUGGUGCUACCCCAAAGACUUAUGGAUGCCUGAAUACUCUGGAGGAAUUUCUGCUGGGUAGAGCUGGCUGUCCUGCCAAAGCCUCGUCUCACUGCGGAAUGGCAAGAUGUGGAGAGCCAUUGGUACAAAUGCUCCUGAGCACCCUCUCUGAUACCUCAGAGCAUAAGUGGCUACCUGGUAUCCUGAGCAGCUAUGUGCUGUGAAACAAGUCAGAUGAUGAAAGUACCACUGUGAGGACAACCAAACUAUAAACUUCAGCUGUAAACCACACCUGGUGAUACCAGAACAUUGUAAGGAAUAUGUUUAAUGCAAUGUAUGUAUGUAUGAAUGAAUUAAUAUUAAUACCACCUUAUUUUUAUGGCUCUAAGUUGUUUUGAAUAGUUUUGAAUAUUGUUUUUAAUACUGUAACCUACCUUAGGACCUCAGGGUGAAGGGCAGGAGGAGGAGGAGGAGGAGGAGAGUUUGGAUUUGAUAUCCAGCUUUAUCACUACCCUAAGGAGUCUCAAAGUGGCUAACAAUCUCCUUUCCCUUCCUUCCCCACAACAAACAGGUGAGUGAGACUGAGAGACUUCAGAGUAGUGUGACUAGCCCAAAGUCACCCAGCAGCUGCAUGUGGAGGAGCGGGGAAUCGAACCCGGUUCACCAGAUUACAAGUCCACUGCUCUUAACCACUACACCACACUGGCUUUAUAAAAUAAUAAUAAUAAAUACUGGCCCUUCAAAUUGUCCUACUUUAGCUCCCUAAUUUUAUGGCCAUGUCUUGACGUUCUUAAUGAAGACACAAUAAGCUGGCUACCUCUACUGACAUCAUUCACUCCAAUACCUAAUUGUGGGAAAGGAAGGGCAAAAAAAGAAGGAGGGAGUAGGACACCGUGGGAUGGUUGCACUCACAAAGGCCCAUGAGCAAUGAAUGCUGACAAGGGAGAGGAAACCCCAUGCAAAUAAGGAAUCUGAGGGAGUUAGGAGUGAGUUUACUUGUUGCCUUAGCUAGUACUAACAGUGCCUGCUGUAAAGGCACUGUGAGAAUUAGGGCUGGGGUUUUGCAGAGCUACUGCUGCCCACUGUCUUCUAGGAACUGAAUGUUCUCAUCUCAAGGAUGUCAAAGGUACACAAGGUCCUUUGGCUCAGCAUGAAUGGGUGGGAUGCAUAAACAUGGAGAUUUCCAGCUAGUUGCCCCCAUCCCUUUUAGCAGCCGUGGGUUACUUGCUACAGGUUACAUCAGCAGAGGUAAUGUGAUCCCACCUCUUGAAAUAGGUCCUCCAGAAUAAUUUGGGAUAGCCAGAGUGUGUUAUAGUGGAUGGGUGUGCCAUAAAGUGUCAUAUUUCUAUGUCUCCAGCCCAGUAGGUGGUUUGUGCAAUGACUCUUAAGGCCUGUUAUGAGAAAAUGGCCACUGGGGAGAGAUCACAUUAAAUUCUUCUCCGUGACAGCUGUUUCUCACCAGCAAGCUAUUUAUAAGCAGGAGCUUCUUGCACAGAUCAGGGGACUUUUCUUGAUGCCACUGAGGUUUGCAGGGAUGUGAAGGAAAUCCUCUGGUGUUUUUGGGAGCUGCAUGCAAACAGUUUGCUAUGGGGGGUGGGGUGGCCAUGGAAACUAGGAAUGAAAGUGGCUUCCAUGUCAAGCUACCUUAUGAAAGGCAUAGUCUUCCCACUCCCUGGUUAUCCAACAUAAUGGAAAUGUUGGGAUUGAACACACACAAGGAAGGAUUGUCACCUAGAAGGCAAGGAUUUGUAUGUCAUUUUGCUGAAUAAAAAUGGUCAUAUGGGGGUUAAGCACUUUCUCCUCACCCACCUGAAAAUGCCUCCCAGAAACUGCUUUGGUAUUACAAGAAAUAGCAGGCUUAUGAACUCUGUGUUUUCCUGGAAACUCUUAGUUCCAUUUUCUGUGCUGCUUGCUGGUUGGGGUUGUUCUUACUCUUCUUGUUGUUGCAGUCAUUUAUUACCUAAAAUGUACCCAAGUGCCACUGUAUUCUGCUCUGGUCAGACCUCACCUGGAGUACUGUGUCCAGUUCUGGGCACCACAGUUCAAGAAGGACACUGACAAACUGGAAUGUGUCCAGAGGAGGGCAACCAAAAUGGUCAAAGGCCUGGAAACGAUGCCUUAUGAGGAACGGCUAAGGGAGCUGGGCAUGUUUAGCCUGGAGAAGAGGAGGUUAAGGGGUGAUAUGAUAGCCAUGUUCAAAUAUAUAAAAGGAUGUCACCUAGAGGAGGGAGAAAGGUUGUUUUCUGCUGCUCCAGAGAAGCGGACACGGAGCAAUGGAUCCAAACUACAAGAAAGAAGAUUCCACCUAAACAUUAGGAAGAACUUCCUGACAGUAAGAGCUGUUUGACAGUGGAAUUUGCUGCCAAGGAGUGUGGUGGAGUCUCCUUCUUUGGAGGUCCUUAAGCAGAGGCUUGACAACCAUAUGUCAGGAGUGCUCUGAUGGUGUUUCCUGCUUGACAGGGGGUUGGACUCGAUGGCCCUUGCGGUCUCUUCCAGCUCUAUGAUUCUAUGAUUCUAUGAUUCUAUAUUGAAAGACAUAAAUUCAUUAUACCAUUAAAAAACAUUAACAUUCUCAUACAAACACCCGCAAUUCAACAUACACAACAUAAUAUACUGUGCACACAACAACGCAUUACCCAAUAACAGCCAGAGGAACCUUGGGCAGCACACUUCUUUGAGAAUGAUGAAAUAAAUGCUGUUCUGCAAAGAAGCAAUAAAUACCCAUGAGAAUAAAUAAAUUUAGAAAAUUGUCCAGUAGCACCUUAGAGACCAACAAAGUUUGUUCUGAGUAUAAGCUUUCGUGUGCAUGCACACUUCUUCAGAUUCUUCAGAUAAAAGACUAAGUUACAUGUUACAAAAAGGGCAAAUCAGGGGUUGAGUUUUCUCCUCCCCGUUCUAUAGCAUAGAGCAUGGGUAGGCAAACUAAGGCCCGGGGGCCAGAUCUGGCCCAAUCGCCUUCUAAAUCCAGCCCGCGGACAGUCCAGGAAUCAGUGUGUUUUUACAUGAGCAGAAUGUGUGCUUUUAUUUAAAAUGCAUCUCUGGGUUAUUUGUGGGGCAUAUGAAUUCGUUCAUUAUUUUUUUCAAGAUAUAGUCCAGCCCCCCACAAGGUCUGUGGGACAGUGGACCAGCCCCCUGCUGAAAAAGUUUGCUGACCCCUGGAUAGAGUAAAUGAUAGUUGUGAGCUGAGGUCAUGUUUCCCUGCUCCCACACUGCACUAGUGGUUGGGUCUACUGGUGGUGUGGGCAGAGAUGUGACGACAUGAGGGCACAGGUAAACUUACCUAGCCUUAUAUAGGUAAAGGUAAAGGUACCCCUGCCCGUACAGGCCAGUCUUGACAGACUCUAGGGUUGUGCGCUCAUCUCACUCUAGAGGCCGGGAGCCAGCGCUGUCCGCAGACACUUCCGGGUCAUGUGGCCAGCGUGACGAAGCUGCUCCGGCGAACCGGCACCAGAGCAGCACACGGAACGCCGUUUACCUUCCCGCUAGAAAGCGGUACCUAUUUAUCUACUUGCACUUAAUUGUGCUUUCGAACUGCUAGGUGGGCAGGAGCUGGGACCGAACGACGGGAGCUCACCCCGCCACGGGGAUUCUAACCGCCGACCAUGAGAUCGGCAAGUCCUAGGCACUGAGGUUUUACCCACAGCGCCACCCGUGUCCCUUAGCCUUAUAUAUAAUCCCAUAAAACAGGACCAACCCUACUAUUAGACAGAAGGAGGCAACUGCCUAAGGUGGCAUAUAUGGAAGAACAGCAGCAACCCUCAGCUGUUCAUUUUAAGCCCUCCAGCCAUUCUGCUUUGUUACCAUGUAGCCUCUGCUGCUGCUGCUGCUGCUCCUAAUAUGGCCUGCUGCUGCAGGUAUGGUGGAAUACACUAUCUUCUCCCCAAUGUAGAAUUAAGUUUAAACUGCCAAUCCAGUCAGUUUCUAUAUGUGGAAUGCGGAGAAGAGAGGGCACCAUCUUGUCCUUAGCCUCAGGCAGCAAAAUAUUUUGGGCCGGCCUGGCAUAAAGAUUUUUAGCCAACAAAUAUGUAACUAGCCUGCUGGAUGCUGGCAGAGAAGGGUCAACCAGGUCGGUGUUUAAAUACAAGAUGAAAUACAGAUUAGUAAUUUACUAAGGUGCAUGGGAAUAGGGACGCGGGUGGCGUUGUGGGUUAAACUGCAGAGCCUAGGACUUGCCGAUCAGAAGGUCGGCGGUUCAAAUCCCUGUGACGGGGUGAGCUCCCAUUGCUCAGUCCUUGCUCCUGUCAACCUAGCAGUUCGAAAGCAUGUCAAAGUGCAAGUAGAUAAAUAGGUACCACUUCAGCGGGAAGGUAAAUGACGUUUCCGUGCGCUGCUCUGGUUCGACAGAAGCAGCUUAGUCAUGCUGGCCACAUGACCCGGAAGCUGUACGCCGGCUCCCUCAGCCAAUAAAGCGAGAUGAGCGCCGCAACCCCAGAGUUGGCCACGACCCCUAAUGGUCAGGGGUCAUUUUUUUAAGGUACAUGGGGGCCCUGCUCCAAUUUGGGACCCUAUAAGGUGCCACAUGUGGGACGCGGGUGGCACUGUGGGUAAAAACUCAGCGCCUAGGACUUGCCGAUCGCAUGGUCGGCGGUUUGAAUCCCCGCGGCAGGGUGAGCUCCCGUCGUUCGGUCCCAGCUCCUGCCCACCUAGCAGUUUGAAAGCACUCUUAAGUGCAAGUAGAUAAAUAGGUACCGCUUUAUAGCGGGAAGGUAAAUGGCGUUUCCGUGUGCUGCGCUGGUGCAGGCUCCCAGAGCAGCUUCGUCACGCUGGCCACGUGACCCGGCAGUGUCUCCGGACAGCCCUGGCCCCCGGCCUCUUAAGUGAGAUGGGCGCACAACCCUAGAGUCGGACACGACUGGCCCGUACGGGCAGGGGUACCUUUACCUUAAGGUGCCACAAAGUGGUCCUGAUCUGAGAUGGGGCUAACCCAAACCAGAUCCAGACUUUUGGGUGGGGGAAGCCUUGCACAGACCUAUGGGCAGGAGGGCGGGGAGAGAGAGACAUCAGAAAGGGUUGAACUGGCAGCUAGGAGAGGGGAAAGAUGGAGACAUGCAGGUGGUCUGCAUGCAUAUGUACUUCCGCACUCCCAACCACAUAUUUAAUCAGUCUUUAAGAAUCCCUCACUUUUGACAGUCGUACAUCGCUCCAAGUGAACCUGAUUCAACCCGGGGUGAUCUGGGACUGCCUCAACCCAAGCCGACUGAAUCCUGGAUCUACAUGCAUCAGCCUGAUUCAGUUCAGGAACCAGUGCACAGCUUUUCCAUGUUAUAGAAAGGAAGGAAGAGAAGUCAACACAGAGAUGCUGUUUUCAGCAGUAGCCCUGUGGUGAUCAUAAAUGUAAUUUUCCCCAUCAAGGUGCCAGGCACAUUCUUCUUAAUUAAGAAACACAUUAAAAGUGGAAGAAAUGGCACCAUGCUUGCAAUGCUGAACUCUUAUAUUUGAUUCUGUUUAGGUUGCAGCAAAAGUUAAAAGGUACUUCUUAAUAGAAACCUAAGUUAAUCUUAAUUAUUUUGUAGUUACUGCCAUAUGGUAAUUCCGUUUCACUGGCAUUAAAAAUGAUGGGAUCUCAGUGUAUGGUUUAAUAAGAUUAUUCCCCGCUGUUAAUUAUUUGUGCUUCGAGGGUUUGACACAAAGUAAGAUAAGAAGGGGUUUCUCUAGGAUUAUAAAUAUCUGCAUAUUCUUCUUAUUCAUUGAGAGUCAUCUGUUCCAGAAAUACGGGUGGACUACAUUGUUAAUGAGGUUAUUUUGGUACAUGAAAGAUGGAAAAAUCUGUGCUUUAACAUAAAGCAGUCAUGAAGUCUUAUAUUUAAGUGCAAGUUGUUUUCAGAAACUGAAAAAUAAAAUGGGAAUACUUAUAGUGUUUCGGAAAUUUCCCCUUUUUCUUUCAUUCCAAAUGUCCAAACUGAUGUAUAUUUGCAAAGCUGCCUAGACGAGAAACCCCUUUUUAAUAAGUCAAAUGGGAAAGAAUAGAUACACACAGUUUUCUCAGGAUUACAGGAAGAUGUUCUUGGGAAAUGGCUUCAUUUUACAUCGUAGGCUGGAUCUGACAUAGGUUGGGCCGAACAAGCUAGUUCUUGUUUUACUGUUUACCUCACAUUAUAAGCUUCAGUUACUGGGCGGCAGGGGAACCCUUGCAGCACAUUCCUCUUGAAAAAGUCAUAGACUCUCUUUCAAGUUUCUGUAACAAAUUCCACUAAAACCACCUUGCAGUCCCACAAAGAUACAACACAGUGAGGCAAAAGGCAGGAGCAAUUCUACCACCCAGAAGGCAAGAUAAACUAUUUGUCAUAGUAAAUGAUUAAUUUCACAUUCUGAAACAUUCUAAUGAGCGUGUCCUCAAAGGGUCUCGGUAUAUUCCCCCUCCCCUCCCCCAAAAAUGUGCAUGAAACAAAAAAUAUCACAGACCAAUAGUGUUUCUCAAUGAUUCACACUACUCCAGAGGUUUCCACUCCACAGAUUUGCCAUUCACCUGCAUAUUCUCAUGGCACCUAUCUGCAUUCAUAGUUUUACUGAAUAAGAAGAGACCUUGGACGUCAUCUAGCUUAGUCAGAUUUUUCUUGCCAGCUUCCUGUAGCCUCAAAUGGAUUACCUCAGAAGGUGAUGGACUCUCCUUCCUUGGAGGUUUUUAAACAGAGGUUGAAUGGCCAUCUGUUAGGGAUUAUUUAACUGUCACUGAGAUAUCAGGCCACAUUCACACCAUACAUUCAAAGCACUGUCAUACCACUUUAGACAGCCAUGGCUUCCCCCAAAGAAUUCUGGGAGCUGUAGUUUGUUAAGGGAGCUGAAAGUUGUUAGCAGGCCCCUAUUUCCCUCACAGAGCUACAAUUCUCAGAGAGGUUUAGUAAUCAAUCUCUCUUCACAGGGAACUGUAGCUCUGUAAGAGGAAUAGGGGCCACCUCACAACUCUAAGCACCUUAAAUGAACUACAGCUCCCAGAAUUCUUUGGGGAAAGCCAUCGCUGCGUACUGUGGUAUGAUAGUGCUUUAAAUGUUUAGUGUGAAUGUGGCUUUACUGGCAGUGGCUCUCCAGCAUUUCUGACAGGGGUGUCUGCCAACCCUAACUAGAGAUGCUGAGGACUGGAUCUGGGACCUUCUGAGUGCAUGGCAGAUAUUGCACCACUGAGCUAAAGCGCUUCUCCUCAUUCUAAUCAGGCCGCCAUAAGCAGUUGCCUUAUAAUGGAGCCUUUGUUGCUAUGUAUUGCCCUAGCCUGAAGAGAAGAGGGAGAGCAUAAGAUUCACCUUCUUUCCCUCAGCUUUUCUUUCAGCAGGCAAGUUUGAACAAGUGGACCUUUGAUUCAAGCUGACAGAUGUGGGCUGGAAGCUUGCCCAAAUCACCCAAUUUGAAAACAUGCUGUGGCAAACAGGGACUUAAGAAAGCUGGAUCAGGAUUUCAUCUGGAUAAAGAACGAUGAGCUAGCCAAAGGGGAAGAAAGCAUACCUCCAAAUUGUCCUCCUGACAAAACGGCAGCACCGUGCACGUGGCCUCUUUUGGUGGGCGUACAUUUUGUUGGGAAUCUGCCAACAUACUGACACCCUGCAAAACAGUCAGGUGCAUGAUUUCAUACAAAACACUGAAAGCACCAGUAUGUACAGGUUCUCCUUCCCAAAAAACAACACACAUCAGAGCCCAUUUCAUACAUUAUGUCAUAGGGGAAGAACCUCAGAUGUGGCCCUCCAGGACUUUUUUAUCUGGCCCUUGGGUUCACUCUAAGUCAUGACCCUCCACUGAUUACACCUCCUCUCCCAGCCAACACCCUUCACUGGUACUCUUCCCUACCCCCCCCCCCAUGCUUUUGCCUAGCUGAAAUCUGCAAAAGAAAAACAAAUACACUUUUUCAGGUUACUUGGGCUAAGACUUUUUAAAAGUUCACAUUUAUAAACUUGAGAUCAGCCGACUAAAUGCCUUCUAAUACACUUUGGGGAAGAAUUUACCAACAAGCUGCUUUUGUCUGCUAAUAAACAUAGAUCAGGGGUGAUGGUUAGUCUUCUUCACUUACAGUCCAGAAGCAAUCAAAUGAUUAUUUUCUUCCUUAAGCCAAAGGCAGUAUGUUUUUAAAACGCACACAAAUUCUUGGAAAGGUAAAGCAGAGUCAAGAAGACGACUUCAGGCCCCUUUUCAUUAUGGGUGACUACCUCUGUCUGCAAGGUCAUUCAUUAAGGGGAGCACUAGGAAGACUGCCUGUAUUGCUCCUUAUUUUUUUUUCCCUGGUAUUGAUUGACAUGUUUAUAUUGAGAUUUUUCUAUACUAGGAGAAACAGAUAAAUUUUACGCAGGUACACUUAUUUGUUAAGUCUGGAGUUUGCUGAGGCUGCUACCUAUGAAAACUCAUAGUGUGGCUACUAUUAGGGGAGGAAAUAUUUAUUAGAGCUAACAUCUCCUCUGCCUUCUUUAUGCAUCUCCUGGUUCUGGGAGACCAAGGGAGAGGCAAGUUUGCCACAGCAGGAGGGGGAGACACCAAUGCCUCUUCACCAGCCAGACUCAUCUCUGCCUCUUAGCCUGUUACCUCUUCAGUUUCUGACACCUCCUCCCAGUCUACUCCCUCUGACCACUCAUCAUCGUCCUACUACUAAUCCCCUGAUUCUGAGCCUUCUUCCCUUAGGGGUUCGCCAGCACCAUUCCUCUGCGCCCAACUAGUCCAUGACAACAGGUUUCAAUUCCCAUAAAUGUGUCCAGAUCAGAGUGUCAGUUGUAUGUGUUAAGACCACCACAGCUUUUUUUCUUGAUUUCUGAAAGCUUCUGCUGAAGGCUCACGAUGACACUGCUUAAAAAUAUCUAAGUUAAGAACAGUUUGCCCUUCACUCUCUACCAGCCAGAAAAUCAGCCUCUGAAGGAGUGUGAAAUUGCCGUCAUAACAGUUUAGGAAUUAAACAGUACAAUAAUAAACACAGCGAAAGAAAGUAAGAGUGUGUUUCACGAAAUGGAAAGUAAAGUGGAACAGAAGCAAGUGCAGUCGACUGUAAAGUUUCAUUUAAUAGCUGACGUUUUCGAUUUUAUCCAUUGGGACUAACAAAAUGGCUGCAUUGUUAAUGAUUGAUUUGUUAUUUAGAUUUGCUCUUAUGAUGAUCUUAAAGUCAUGGCUGGCUCAAGAUGCUUUGUUGCCUGGGGCAAAUGACAGGAUUACAUCUUCCAUGAUUCUACACACAGAAUCUUCCUUCAGAACUGGUGAUUGGACAGCAUCAUCCACUGGGCCUGAGGGCAGCAGACUACCCUCAGGGGCACAGGACAGAUGCAUGGGAAGCUGCCUUAUAUUGAUAAGUCAGUCCAUUGGCCCUUAUAGCUCAGUACUGUCCACAGUGGAUAAGGUUUACCUGCCACAUUCCACAAUAUAUAGUUGCAUUAAUGUCUUCUUUUAUAUUGACAUUAACAAGUUUUGAAUUUUCCCCACUUCAGUGUUUAUAUUAACUCUAUUACAGUGGUACCUCGGGUUACAGACGCUUCAGGUUACAGACUCCGCCAACCCAGAAAUAGUACCUCGGGUUAAGAACUUUGUAUCAGGAAGAGAACAAAAAUCAUGAGGCGGCAUCGUGGCAGCAGUGGGAGGCCCCAUUAGCUAAAGUGGUACCUCAGGUUAAGAACAGUUUCAGGUUAAGAACGGACCUCCAGAACGAAUUAAGUUCUUAACCCAAGGUACCACUGUAUUGUUAUUAUUUAGAUCUGAACUAUGCCUUCAAGGGGAAGGAGGGAUGUUUAAUUUGUCAUUUUUCUUCUUCAGUAGGUAAUGCCCACAUCUUUUGUAUCAACAGGUUAUCAAGCAAUCACUGCCAAAUCCACUUCUUUGGAUUUCUAACAGACUUACCACAUAAGGUCCUUAUCCCACAGUCAGUUUUGACAGAGCAGUCACUAUGUAGGGGAGCUGUGAAUUUACUCAGGUACAAAUCUCACAUUGGCUAGGCUAGGGGAGCAUAGGAGGAAUAGCUGUUUCUCAGCUCAGCCCCAUUUCCAGUCUGAGCAUAAUAAUACCAGCAAAUAUUACAGGCUUACUGAGAUAAAAUAGGAAAGCUUGAAUUCUGCUAUGUAAAUGCUAAGUAUUAAUUCAGAGGAAGAUCCCUUGCAUUUCCAUGUUGUUGCAAAGAUUAAUGCCGUUAUUUAUUUAUUUCGGGUUUUUUAUCCUGUCUGAUUGCCAAAGGCUUUGGGCAGGAAACACAUUUAGAAACAAUAAUCAAGAAUGUGUAAAAUGUAUAAAUGGCCAGAAUGGGUGCAUGCCUGUGGUGAUGUUGCACUGCUUCCAUUAACUUCAGCAGAUAUUUUGCAGGGUGGAAACAUCCUGUUUCACACAGUUGCUUCCAAAAAGUGAACAAUACAGAACAACAAACCCCUGCAUUGCAAACUUAACACAACAAACAACACAAACAACACGAAGUAUACUAGAUAGCACUGCAAUUCUUAUACAUGUUUUAGUACAACAAAAACAAAAUGUGUACACUUGUAAAUUCUCUAAUAUAUUUGAGGGCCCACAGGAUAGUAUCUAUUACUUUGUUUCAACUAUAGACUUAUUAUACUUCUAUGGACGUUCAAAGAUUGACAGACGUGUGUUCAUUUGAUUUCAAAUAUAUUAGAGAAUUUGCAAGAGUAUACAUUUUGUUUUUGUUCUACUAAAUCAUGUAUAUCAUUCAAUAAGAACUGCAGUGCUAUCUAGUAUACUGGUCUUCAUGUUGCUUGUAUUGUUUGUUGUUCCAAAAAGUGAACAAACAGACAGUAGCCCUCAUCUCUGUUGACUCCUGGCAACUGUCUGUUAGCAUAAUGUCACCAUAGUUAAGAGCCAAUGGCACACCUGUCUUCCAUGAAAUUUGUCUAAUCCCCAUUUGAAGCCAUCUAAGCCAGUAGUCAUCACAUUGUAAAAUCCCCCCCAUUCCCCCUGAAAGGAUCAUUCAGGUUUGCUUUUGUCACCCUCUAAGAGGAAGAGAGGUCCAAAGUUGAGCAGAGGCCACCAUGAAUGACCCUCUACAGGUUGUUGACCUUCAGGCUUUGCAUACAAAAGUCACAUCUCUGUCUUGGCUGAAGUAAGAUAAACACAACCUCUCUGUUCUUUUCUCCUCAAAUUAUAUACUGUUUUUGUUCAGUUUUCCUCGGUUAUUGGGAUUUAUUUUUUCUCUGGACUCCACCUGCAGUAUUUAAGCUAUUUUGCAAACAGAAAGUGUUUUCCCAUCAAGUAACUACAUGGGUUCACAAGAAGCAUUUUGAGUUUUCCCCAAACUUAUCUUUCACCCCUCCCUCUCUGUCACUGCCCAUAUACUUGCAGCUUUUUCUUUUUUAAUCACAAGCAUGUAUUUGAAUGAUCUCAGCUUUUUAGAGCCUCCAUCUAACCUUAAUUGCAACUUUGAUUUUAGUCGUGUGAAGUACUGAUUACAAUAAAACUGGGCUAUGUGUGCACUCAGAUGAUAAAUAUAGAUGCACAACCUCUCUCCUGAUCGUCUUCACAAACAGACAAUCAAAUCAAAAUGCAAACUGUUUUUUGAAAGAAAAAAAUAGAUACGUUUCUGUGCAAGUUGCCACUUCCAAUGUGUCAUUUUCCCCUUCCACGAAAGAACUAAUGUUGUUACUGUUCCUGCCAAAAAAGAAAAAGAAAAAGCCCUGAGGGGCCCAUAGAAAUCACUCGAAAAAACAGUGAUUAGAUAAAGACAAUUUAUGUUAUUGAUGGCUCCUUUGACCUGUAAAGAACUUUAAAUGAAGGACAAUUUCAAUUACUCCACCUUUCAGUGCUCUGUACAGUGCCUGCUUCCUCUUUUUAAAGGAAGAACUUAAAUGGUGCCUGUAAAAUAUAGCACUGCGAGUGACGUUUAGAACCCACAAGUGCUGCUGGCUGGGUCAGAAAUCAUUAAUCUUCAUGAGUGACAAUCUUCCAGAUCUUAGCAAUAUACCUUCUCCCUGAGGAGGAGGGGAAAGAAGGAAGUGAGCCGGGCAGCUGAGUGACCUUGAUGUGUUGAGAGUCACCAUCGCAAGUUGCGAGUCAGCCCUGCAUGAGUGCACUGCUGGGAUGCUGGCGAUGUUAUUAAAGCCAGACAACAGCACUAAUAUCGCCAGAGGCGCUGAGAUUAGAAUGAAGCUUUGUGAGACAGGGGGAAGUGGAGCAGACAGAAUCAAGCCUGGAUAUUGGGGCCGGGGAGAGCAGAGGAGAACCGAGAGGAGGAAAAGCAUGGGGGAUAGGGGAGAGAGAGAUCUUUACGCCUAGCCAUACAAGUGUAGUUGUGAGGAGGGUGAAUGUAAGAACAUAAGAAGAGCCCGCUGGAUCAGGCCAAUGGUCCAUCUGGCUCAGCAUCCUGUUCUCACAGUGACCAACCAGAUGCCUGUGGGAAACUCACAAGCAGGACUUGAGCUCAAGAGCACUCUCCCUGCCUGUACAGUGGUACCUCAGGUUAAGUACUUAAUUUGUUCUGGAGGUCCGUUCUUAACCUGAAACUGUUCUCAACCUGAAGACCACUUUAGCUAAUGGGGCCUCCUGCUGCCACUGCGCCGCCGGAGCCCAAUUUCUGUUCUCAUCCUGAAGCAAAGUUCUUAACCUGAAGCACUAUUUCUGGGUUAGUGGAGUGUGUAACCUGAAGUGUAUGUAACCUGAAGCGUAUGUAACCCGAGGUACCGCUGUAGUUUCCAGCAACAUAGCAUAGGCAACAUAAAAAGUUGCCUACAAGAAACAGAAAGUGGUGCCAUCAAGACACAACUUUAGGGCACAGGUCCAGGGCUCCACUCAGAAAAAUGAGCAAGCUGGGACGCAGUGUGGUGUAGUGGUUAAGAGCGGUAGUCUCGUAAUCUGGGGAACCGGGUUCACGUCUCCGCUCCUCCACAUGCAGCUGCUGGGUGACCUUGGGCUAGUCACACUUCUCUGAAGUCUCUUAGCCUCACUCACCUCACAGAGUGUUAGUUGUGGGGGAGGAAGGGAAAGGAGAAUGUUAGCAGCUUUGAGACUCCUUAAAGGGAUUGAAAGGCGGGAUAUCAAAUCCAAACUUUUCUUCAAAUCCAAACUCUACAUUUUGAAUCAGCAUUAUCAACUAAAGAAAGAGGCCUCCAUAAGAUCAUUAAGUCUAGGGUCUAAAAUUACCUAAGUCUAGCACGGGGAACUCAGGUGCAGUUUUCAGGAAAACCAAAGUGGCUUCUGCUAGAAUUCCAGGUCAUUUUAAAACUGAUAGUUGUGUGUCCCAAUGGACUGCAUGGUUCUUGCUGGCUGGCACACAGCAAACAUGUUUUGAACACAAAAUGGGAAAUUUUAAUUUAAGGCAUUGUGAAUAUGAAAUAUCCAGCGCAUCAGCAGUGUAAACAGAACCAUCCGAAAAAUGAGUGUAUACAAGGGAUGCGUACCAAACACAGGAUUUGGUUUGGUCCAAAAUUUGGCGCUUUGGAAGCAGCUCAGUUCAAUUCAGGGUCCAUAGCCAAGGCUGCUUUGGGAAAAUCAGGGCUUCAUACCUCUACACACACCCCAAAUUCAGUAAUUCAGUAAUUGGACAUUUUAAAAAUUACUAUUUCCUCCCCUUUUGACAGAAGUGGACAUUUACAGGCAUAGCAGCCCCUCCAGAGUGAAUACUGCCUGCCAUUUACAGGCAAAUAAGUUGUGUGUGUGUGUGUGUGUGUGUGCGCGCGCGCGCGCACGUGCACGUGUGUGUGUGUGUGUGUGUGCAUGUACACACUGAACACCUUUAAAGUUUGAUUUUUUAAAAACAAAGAAGCAUCUUUAACCUAUUUUUGACAAAUUUUGAAAAUGUUUGAAGGUAUCACAGAAAACUCAUGACAAAUUUCAGAAGGAAAGGUGCAAAAUUCAGAAGUUUCUCCCACAAGGCUGGCCUUUCCAGUUUUGGGGUGGGUAAAAAAAGGAAGCAUUUACUCUCUCCUACUAUAUUGAGCAGAAGUGAGAGUGAGUGGUGUCCUUAGGUAAGAGACCUGGCAAGUUUUAGACAAAUUGGUGAAGGAUCCCAGUCAUCUACUGCAUCUGGUCCCCCAAGUUUGAGAAUAAAAUGCAGCAUCUUGAACUGCCAGAGCUGGGAAUUUAUUUAAGGUCUGUUUAUUUAAGGGAUUCGAAUGAAGUCAGAGAAAUGAAUCAUGAGCUUUCCCUGUCCCCUUGAAGUGAAUGUGAGAUUAUAUGCUCUUCCCCCUCUGAUCUGCUAUACAGACACUUCAAGCCCAGCAUAAAAUUGUCAUGAGUACAACAUCUCGGGAUCUGUCAAGCGUGAGUAAACAAUGGAAUACAAGAAGCACUUGGAUGUCUUUGUUUUUCAAAGCUGGAAAAACAAAAACAAAGAAACUGUGUUUGUGGCUUCCUCGCUGGAAAGGAAAGGAGAAGGGAGGCACACAAAAAUGUACCAUCAUGCCGUGAGCUUUGAAUACAAGGCUUGUAAAAAGAAACUCUGGCUUCCCAGGAUGUUGGAUGUCAAGCAAACAUGCUAUCGGAAAGGCACCUAACUCCUUUCAAAGGAGGCUCCUGCCUAAGACAUCACCAGGCGCAGUGCGGCUUAUUUCUGUGUGCCUGAUUGCUACAACACACACAGUUAAAAGGAGGGGCCUACAGAGACUUGGUCAAGUCCAAUACAUUUGCUUGGCUCAUGCUGUUGCAGUGCACAGUUGGAAAUUUACUCCCCAUGGAUCUUUUGCGACGGCACAGAGAUGCUGCAGUGCAACUCUCAGAUCGUAUGCUGCCCUGUAAAAAGCAGCUUGAGAUGCUUAGGCUAUAAGGCUGCCCUAAGCAGCCAUGCUUCUUUCACACAUAAUGUGCUUAAUGGGAUGGGAUAACUAGCCAUGAUGUCUAGGUUUGAGAAACCUAGACAGCAUCUUAAAAAGUAGAGAAAUCACCUUGCCAACAAAGGUCCGUAUAGUAAAAGCUAUGGUUUUCCCAGUAGUGAUGUAUGGAAGUGAAAGCUGGACCAUAAAGAAGGCUGAUCGCCGAAGAAUUGAUGCUUUUGAAUAAUGGUGCUGGAGGAGACUCUUGAGAGUCCCAUGGACUGCAAGAAGAUCAAAUCUAUCCAUUCUGAAGGAAAUCAGCCCUGAGUGCUCACUGGAAGGACAGAUCGUGAAGCUGAGGCUCCAGUACUUUGGCCACCUCAUGAGAAGAGAAGACUCCCUGGAAAAGACCCUGAUGCUGGGAAAGAUGGAGGGCACAAGGAGAAGGGGACGACAGAGGACAAGAUGGUUGGAUAGUGUUCUCGAAGCUACCAGCGUGAGUUUGACCAAACUGCGGGAGGCAGUGGAAGUGCCUGGUGUGCUCUGGUCCAUGGGGUCACGAAGAGUCGGACACAACUAAACGACUAAACAACAACAACUAGCCAUGAUGGCUAUGCUCUGCCUCCAUCAUGCUACUGGAUGCCUGUUGCUGGAAAUCACAGGAGGGGAGAGUGCCCUGCUUGGAGGUUUCCCAUGGGCAUCUGGGUAGUCACUGUGAGAACAGGGUGCUGGAAUUGGUGGCCUAAUCUAGCAGGCAAUUCGCAUGUUCUUAGCACAAAUUGCAUCAUCACAAAGAUCCUCAGGAACCACCACUUUGUUCUCAGCUAAGUGCCAAAUUAGGGGUCAAUGAAUCUGUCAAUUUCAGUUUCUCUCCUUUUCUCCUUUUACCAGUUGUGCAUUCCACAUUUCCACAUCAGUUUGCGUUAAAAAAAGUUCUCAAUUUUUUUUGUCAGCACUUUUGUGCAAAUUCCUCCUACUAGAUGCAUUUUAUAGCAAUUUCCCCUAAUAGACACAUAUUUUCCAAAAGCAAAUUUUCCCAAUAUAAAAUGCAUUUUAUAUGUAAUUUUUACCAAUAUUUGCAUUUCUCUGCACCUAGUAGGUGCAUUUUUGUACAUGUUAUUGGCAGGAGUACUACAAUGCGAAAUUUGGACAAGUGUGAAUUCUGAAAUUUUGGACAAGCGUGAAUGCAGUUUGCUUUUAAAUGCAACCUGAAUCAAAAUUCUUCACAAUCCUUAGUGCCAAAGCAGAUCCUUGGCAGAUACUUCCAACAACAGAAACCACAUCUAAGCACCAUUACCUAUGAUUUGUGGUGCGAUGCAAUUCGCCUUGGCUGUACUGAGUUAUCCAUUUAGCUUUAAACCCUUCAUUUAUCCUUUUGGCUUGACUACGAGCUAAAUCUACCAUUAAAUUUUAACCUUUGGGCUCAUCUCAGGUUACAUUUCAUUCUCCGCCUCCCGAAAAAGCAUAUUCAGUCAUGUAGCUGUUGAUACAUUUUAAUCCUUUUACUGUUGAUUCCAGUGUUUUAUGUUUUUAACUGCAUUUACUGAUCAUUUUAAUACUUCUUAUAAACCGCUGAAAGGUUUUAUUACAAUCAAGUAGUAUAUAACUUUUCUGAAAUGAAUAAAAUAAAAAAGGAAAUGCAUCUACAGAAAAGAUGCCCAAAGAUGGCUGGGUGUCAGGGACUGACAGUUAAAGGCAGCAAACUGGAAGCAGAGGAAGAGAGAGAUGGUUGGUGUCUGUUUGAAACCAAGGUUCAUGUGGCUAAGGGAGAAGCAAGACUCUAUUGGCAUGUGAGUGCUGUGAGCCCCUCUAUCGCAGGCUCUUUGAUUCUCUCACUCUCUCUCUCCCCGUCCCCCCCCCCCCACAAUGUUUCAUAAAUACACCACAGUCUCCACUGUUCCACAUUUCAGAAAAAACCCCACAGAUCUUAGGCAAGAGCCUAGAACCCCUCAAUCUCACACCGCUCAGAGAUUAGGGUUGUAUGUAACAAUAUGAUUUGAUGCAAUGCUCAAAGUCAGCACGCAGUGCCAGAUUUACAUAUAAGCUAAACAAGCUAUAGCUUAGGGCCCCACUCUCUUGGGGCGCCCCAAAAAAAUUCAAAGGAAAAAGGUGUUUGCAUUAUUAAGUUUGUUGUGAAUUUUAAAAAAUCAUUUUAAGUUAGCUUAAUAAUUAUUUCACUAUUAAUAUACUUCUUCUUAAUUGUAUUUCAGUUCAACAAUUACUUUGAUAAAAUUGUUGGGAUACUGCCAGGGAGAUAAAGUCCAUCAAGGCCCCCAAGCCGUCUGCCGGACGAUCCAUCGACCUGCCGUAGGCACGCAGCGACAUGAGUUUCUAGAAAAUAUCUUGCCACAUUCUAGAGCUCAUGCACGCUCUAUCAGCAGAUAAUGCACAGCCAAAAGUUGCAGUCAGGAGAGCAUUAUUUACAAGUUUAUUCAGCGUUGAUCAGAACACAGAAAAACAUGACUGACUGCUUUAGUGUCUGCGACACAGAGAGAGAAAACGAAAGCAACAGAAAACAUAAACAUCCUGUGAACAGGAAAUACGCAGACUCUGACUCACAAAGCCUGCUCCCUUUUAAGGUGGAACGGAAAUAUCCUAACAUCCUCCCCUUUCCGUGUAACCUGUAGUACCUGUGGUUCAACCCAAUUGCAACCUUUGUACGUAAACCUUAAGUUGUUCUCUGUUAACAACCUUAGACAACAGAUCAGCAGGAAUUUCAUUUCCUGGCAUGUAGGACACCUGAAUGAGUCCUUUCUGAAUACACUCUCUUGCACGAUGUAACUUAAUCUGCAAGUACUUGGUUCUUUGCUUGCAACUCUCUGAGUUCAGCAAAGCCAAACACGAUCUAUUGUCUUGAUACACUUGUACAGGACAUUUCACAGAAACUCUGAUGUCCUUAAACAGUUGCAUCAACCAUUCACAAUCCAUGAGUGAAAAUGACAGAGCAUUGAGUUCUGCUUCACAGGAACUUAGGCUCACUGUCGUCUGCUUUUGCACAACCAGUCAAACAGGCAGUGGUUGUACAUGUAGCAUACUCCAGAAGUGCUUGUACCAUCCGUGGUGUCACUUCCAAAACUUGCAUCUGCAAAGAUUUCAAGACCUCCAGUCUUCUGACUGGUGAACCUCAGCCUGUAGUGCAUAGUCCCUUUCAAAUAGCGGGCUAUGCGCUUCAGAGCUUUCCAAUCCUGAACAGUAGGAUUGUUAGCAUGUCUGCUAAGCAGGUUAGUGCUUACAGCUAUGUCAGGUCUUGAGCAUCUAGCAAUGAAAUUCAACUUGCCUAGAAUGCAUCUGUACAGCGUUGUGUCAGAAAACGCUUCAGCAGUACUGUCUACCUGGUAACCUGUCACCAUCGGUGUGUCUGCUGGGUUUGCAUCAACCAAAUUCAACCUGGUUAAUACAUCAGCAAUUUUCUGUGUUUGGUGUACCAGAAAAUUACCUGCUUGGUCCCUCUCCACCUGCAGAGAAAGAUAGUUGGAUACCUCACCAAGAUCCUUCAUGUCAAAGUGCUCCUUCAGCUGAGCUAGGGUGCUUUGGUACAAAGCCUGAUUCUUCCAAAACAUCAGAAGAUCAUCAACAAAACAUAAACAAUACAGUUUGUUUUGCCCCUCCUCCUUGACAAACACACAUGGAUCAGCUUUGCCCUGGUGAAAACCUAGAGAAAGCAAUGUCUCAGUGAGCUUUGUGUUCCAACACCUGGCACUCUGCUUGAGACCAUAUAAGGAUUUCCGCAGUUUACAGACCAUUCCCUUCUGUAUCUGCAUCCCAUCAGGUGGAAGCAUAAACAGCUCCUCCUCCAAAAUCCCGUACAAAAAAGCUGUAUUAAUGUCAUGAUGGGAAACAUGCAGUUUCUCCUCUGCAGCUAUCUUGAGCAUCAGCCGAAUGCUCUCAUAUUUGACUGUGGGUGAGUAGGUCUCGUGGUAAUCCUGUCCUGGUACCUGUGAAAAACCUCUGGCAACCAAUCUGGCUUUGUGUCUGACAACCUUGCCAUUCUGGUCUGUCUUGGCCUUGAAGACCCAUUUGCUGCCAACCAGUCUCAUUCCUGGGACUACCGGUACCAGUUCCCAAGUUUGGUUCCUGUUCAAGGAAUCAACUUCAGCCUUCAUGGCAUUAAGCCAAGGCUCAGCAUCUUUAGAGGUUAACUCCUGAACCUCUUUGAAGCUUGAAGGUUCCCACACCUUCUCUGAGCUACUAAGAACAGCAGUUGCUGUCUUAGCAAACUCAUCAGCAAAUCUCUUUGGAGGUCUGCCCUUCGUGGCUCUCUCAGAUCUGCGUACUAGACGCAAGUCUUCUGGACUCAUCUCCUCCUUCUUAGGAGAAAAGUGACCAAUGGUGAACAGUGGUUCUUCCAGUUCAUUGUCAGACGCAUCAGAUGGUCUGACUGAGGCCUUUGCGCUCUUGUAGUCUGCUGUGUCAUCACUGUCACUGACACCAGCAGCAGCGCCGCCCACUGAACUGGAAUCCGAACUCUGAUCAUCAUCGUCAUCAUCAUCCUCAGCAGCUUCCUCAGCUUUAGCUGCUUCUUUGACAUCACCUUCAUCCUCCUCUGGGUAACUCUGGAAAAUUCCCACAUUUUCCCCCCACUUAGGAUUGUACUCAACACUCUUUGUGAACUUAAUGGACUUAGAGUUAGUCAUCCAUACCCUGUAUGCACCUUUUCGUACCCCAUGAACAAACCAUGUGCCCCACGCUUCCCAAGCUUGUUGCUCUGUGGGGUGUGUACCCACAUGUCAGAACCAAAGAUUCUCAUGUGCUUGAUGUUGGGUUUCUUACCAAACAUCUUCUCAUAGGUGGUACAACCAAUAGGUGAUGACAAUCUGCGAUUAUAAGUGUAAGCAAAAUUCGACAGAGCCUCCCCCCAAUACUUAUCAGGGAGAUUGGCAUCAUGCAACAAUGUUUUCAUUCCUUGCAGCAACGUUUGAUUUGCUCGCUCCGCAAGCCCAUUCAUCCAUGGCGAUCUAGGCGUUGACAAGUCAUGCUGGAUUCCCUUCUCAGUCAGGAAAGCUUCAAACUGCUGAGAAGUGAACUCCCCGCCUCGAUCAGUAAACAGACAGCCAAUGCGUUUACCGUGAACAUUCUCCAACCAAGCACAGAAUGCCUUGAACUUAGGAAACGCUUGCGAUUUCUGCUCGAGCAUAAACACAUGAAUGUACCUGGAAAAAGAAUCAAUUAGAACCAUGAAGUACCUUGCUCCACCCAAAGAGGGCGCAAGUGGACCAACCAGGUCUGCGUGCACUAGCUGGUAGGGUUUGGAAGCCUGCCUGCUAGACUCCUUGCCUUUUGGAGCAACCUUCACCUUGUUCUCUGCACAAGAUACACAUUUCAUGUGAAACUUACAGGGUUUGAUGUUCAAACCCUCAACCAUCUCUGGCAUCUUGGCCAGUGCCUUCCAAGAGAGGUGGCAAAACCUUCGAUGUGCAUCGUGAAUGCAUCCUGCAUGAAGAACUUUGUUAGUUUGUGCAACACAACAAGAAUCAACAUUAGACACAACAGCACCAAUGUCAUCAUAAGUUAUACAGAACAAGCCAUCCAUAAACUUUGCAUGCAAAAUGUCCUCUUUGCCUUUUCUGAUGACACAGACGCUCCUCUUGAAGGAAAUCUCAAAACCACGCCCAGUCAACUGUGGGACACUGAGCAAAUUGUCUGCAGCGCCUGGAACAUACAGUACAUCUUUGAUGGUAGUGUGCAGACUUGCCAGUUUCACAGUCCCUUCUCCUGCGAUUCGCAACGUCUUUCCAUCAGCCAGGUGGAUCUCACCUUCUUGAGGUUUGAAGGAGAUAAAGAGAUGGCGGUCUUUUGAGACAUGGCGGGUACAGCCUGAAUCAACAACAAACCUGGCUUUGGCCUUCGGAGCAGUCUUUGCAGCAAGCAAAACCUUGUUUUCCACCGGCGUGGGCUUUUGCAGCUUGCCCCCCCUGCUCCUGGCCAUCAGACUUGCCUUUAGCCUUUGGUGAAGCUGUGCCAGCAAACAAAACCUUGUUUUCCACUGGCGUGGGCUUUUGCAGCUUGCCCCCUGCUCCUGGCCAUCAGACUUGCCUUUAGCCUUUGGUGAAGCUGUGCCAGCAAACAAAACCUUGUUUUCCUCUGGCGUGGGCUCUUCACCCUCCCUCUGCUUCUGGCCAUCUGCAGGCGUCUGCCUCUGUUUACCUUUGCCCUUCCGGCCUCUGCAAAGGCGAUGACCUUGGCUCCCAUGAGAAACAGAGCUCUCAGCUGCCGACUCCUUGGCUCCCCUGGAGGCUGGAAUGGUGCCUGGGAUGACGUGACAGUCAGCUUCCCCUGCAGCUUGCAACCGGUGCCCUCGGCAUCCCUGCAUUCACUCGCAUUCUGGGAAACAGCCAGGACCUCCGAUGCAGUCAAACUCUGGGCUGGGAUGACUGGCAAAUGGGCUAUCUUCAAAGCAUGCCACAUCUUACGUGCAGUCACAUUGCCAGCAAGCGUCUUAAUUUCCUCCAGAGACACGGACAAGACUAGUAUGUCUAUCGCCUUCGAAUUUUCGGCCCUCCAUCUAUCUGUCAGAGGAACUGGAGGGGCUUCAGACACAGUAUGCCACACUCCAAACUGACGCAGCAAGCUCUCACACCAUUUUGCCCAGGUCUGAUAGUUGUGCCGAUUUAACUUUGGGCACUCAGCAGCCUCAGAAGCUUGGAAAAACUCCAUUCCAGGUUUCUAUUCGAGCCGUGAGUCUAAUUCACUUCAGAGACGUCUUAUCUCGGCAGCUCAUAAAUCUUGAGGCCUUUGGCGCGGCUCCCAGACCCAUUAGAUCUGCCGGACGUUCAAAGGCCCUUGCCGCGGCAAACAGAAAAGCCUCACUUUCGCUUUUCCUCCACAUACCUUUCAGCAGUCUGUCGCAGUCUUACUCUCCUGUAAGUGCUGUGAAUCUGGGCCCGAAACCUGUUGUUGGGAUACUGCCAGGGAGAUAAAGUCCAUCAAGGCCCCCAAGCCGUCUGCCGGACGAUCCAUCGACCUCCCGUAGGCACGCAGCGACAUGAGUUUCUAGAAAAUAUCUUGCCACAUUCUAGAGCUCAUGCACGCUCUAUCAGCAGAUAAUGCACAGCCAAAAGUUGCAGUCAGGAGAGCAUUAUUUACAAGUUUAUUCAGCGUUGAUCAGAACACAGAAAAACAUGACUGACUGCUUUAGUGUCUGCGACACAGAGAGAAAACGAAAGCAACAGAAAACAUAAACAUCCUGUGAACAGGAAAUACGCAGACUCUGACUCACAAAGCCUGCUCCCUUUUAAGGUGGAACGGAAAUAUCCUAACAAAAAUACCUAUUUUGUUAUGUGCAAAUGGCUUCAAAUACCUAUAAGGUCCAUAAAUUACCAUGUAACAUAUAUUCAACACACAAAAAACAGUGUCAAUUUGUUGUUGACAAAGGACAGGUGGACAUAUAAAGGGCCCCAUUACCUUCAGUAGCUUAGGGCCUCAUCACCAUGCAUGUCAAAGUGGGAAUCACUCAGACGUCUCCUCAACCAUGUGCAACAACAGAACAAUAUUUAAUUUAUUUUUGACUCAUACUGAAGCAUUCACACAGGGCAGGGGGUUUAGGGAAAGAUGCUUCAUUUGAAUUCAGAGUAGUUGUAUGGAUCACAGCAUCUUCAUUCUCUCCUCCCCAGCACACCUUCAGGCAGUCUCCUUGUAUCUGCACUGCCCGCUGAAUUGCCACAGGCACACUUACCUUUCCUACACAGCUCCACUUAAUGAGCAAAGCUGUUUACUAGGGAAAUAGUGAGGUUAAGGAGCUGAAAGCAAUCUCCUCUUUCUCUCUGAUUCUAGUCCUCCACCUUCUUUUUUUAUGAUGGGAGAAAUGGGACAGCUUAGAUUUCCCAGUACAGAAACAGCGCUAACUCUGUGGGAUUAAGGCAAAUGUCCAGCUAAGAUCCUUAUUUAGCGUUGCUAUGUGGAGGGUGUUCACAAUUGUGGUUGGGUAUUGCUACUAUAAUUAAGAUUUAGACUGGAGUGUUGCAUUGAAACAGAUCCAAUGUUCAGAAACUACAUUUAGACUUUACUAGCUACCAGAGCCUUCAUAAAUGCAAGCCCCAUGUGGAGCAGACAAACAGCGUGAUCCUAAAUGUGACAACUCAGAAGUAAUUGCCAUUCAUUUCAGUGGGACUUUAAUCCCAGGGACAUGGGAUAUCAGAUUGCGGCCUGAAUUACAUGAGUUUAUAACAGAAGGUAGAGCAGCACUGUUGCUGAGUUUUUACAGUUUGCUAGCAUAAACUCUGCUGAGUGACCAAGGAUGUGCUUAUUUAUAACUGCCUCCCCCACAAAGCCCUGGGUAGAUUCUGUGAAUACAGUGGUACCUCGGGUUAAGAACUUAAUUCGUUCUGGAGGUCCGUUCUUAACCUGAAACUGUUCUUAACCUGAGGUACCACUUUAGCUAAUGGGGCCUCCCGCUGCUGCCGCACGAUUUCUGUUCUCAUCCUGAAGCAAAGUUCUUAACCUGAAGAACUAUUUCUGGGUUAGCAGAGUCUGUAACCUGAAGCAUCUGUAACCCAAGGUACCACUGUAGAUACUGUAGGUUGUCCCAAUCUAAGCAACUGGGUGUGCCUAAACUGCAAUUAUGAGCUUUCUGCAUUUCAGUUCCCCUUCAAUUCUAUCAUGUCACUUCAUGAUCUGCUAGGAUGUCCAUGCAUCUUGCAUUACUUGAGGAAAGUCUAGGAAAACAGGCAGUUGCCUUAUACUGAGUCAAAUUAUUGGUCCGUCUAGCUCUGUGCUGUCUAUGCUGAUCAGCUGUGGUUCUCCAGGGUUUCAGACAAGGGAUGCCCCCAGCCCUACCUUGAGAUGCUGUGAAUCAAACCUGCGGCCUAUUGCAUGCAAUGCAUGUGCUUUACUACUGAGCCACAACCUUUCCACCAGCUGCUACACUUCUGAGCUGGUGCACAGGUCACCAGAUGAGAUCACAGAAGAAAUAAUUGGAAGGGACCUUGAGGAUUGUCUAGUCUAACCCCCUGCACUUAGGAGUCUCAACGCACAGUCCCCCACCCCCAAUUUGAAACCAUACCUGACUCUGUUCAGCUUGCAAAUGUGCUAGCAGUUUUACUGCCGCACCACUAUAUGUUGCAUUUCUGUUUUAAACUGCAGGCAUUAUUUACGGGACAAAUAUAUACCACAUAUGUAUAUACAUUAAAAUCAGCACGUGCACAUUUUAUUCUAAUCCGUGCCCUGUCUUGCCUUCUUGUUUUGGUGAUGUAGCCACUGCUGCUCUAAGAAGAGCCAUAGCUCAGUAUCAGGCCACAUGCUAGCAUGCACAGAAUCAAUCCCUGACAUCGCCAGUCAAAGGCUCUGAAGUGUAAGGGCUAUGAAAGGCACCUGGGACACUGAAGAACCACUGUCCAUUUCACAGUAGGCAAUAUUGUGCUAGAUAGACCAUUAGUCCCACUUGGUGUUAAUUUAAAGGCAUAGGUAAAGGAUCCCUGACAGUUAAGUCCAGUUGCAGACAACUCUGGGGUUGCGGUGCUCAUCUCGCUUUCAGGCUGAGGGAGCUGACGUUUGUCCACAGACAGUUUUUCCGGGUCAUGUGGCCAGCAUUACUAAUCUGCUUCUGGUGAAUCAGAGCAGCACACAGAAAUGCCGUUUACCUUCCCACUGGAAAGGUACCUAUUUAUCUACUUGCACUUGGACAUGCUUUCGAACUGCUGGGUUGGCAGGAGCUGGGACCGAGCAAUGGGAGCUCACCCCGUUGCGGGGAUUCGAACCGCCAACCUUCUGACAGGCGAGCCCAAGAGGCUCAGUGGUUUAGACCACAGUGCCACCCACAUCCAUGGUGUUACUUUAGCAUGUUCAUAUAAGAGUUUUUCAUUGCUGCUGUUGAAUCACCAUGAUAAUGGGCAGGGAAAAUAGAAACUGGCAUCAGGUCCUUUGGGCUGAACCACAAGGCAAGAUUUGGAUCUGGACCACUACACACACACACACACACACACACACACACACACUAUCCCAAAUGGAACCUAAAGUCCCAUAUUCUCAUUCUCUAUCCGAGCAUAGACAUCCUCGUUUUUUGUGAGAGCUCUUCAUCAGAGUUAUAGCACACACAGCACAAUGCAUAAUUCGUCAUGGUUAAAAGCUGCAUUUAAAACCCACAGUGUAGAAACGUUCUCCAAUCAGCUAGAUGAAGCCAACUGGCAGAUCAGAACAUCAGAAGCGUAUUCAAACCAAAAACAAACAAUGGAGCCAUCCAUUUCCUACCCAAAAAAGACAAUGUUGCAAACUGUAGCUGUUUAGAAGUGGUAGUUAGAAUACAUUGACUCUCCUUCUGCAUAAUAGCAAGGCGGGUGGGGCUCAAAGCAAAGGAGGGAUGUGCCAAAAGAAACAAGCAAUUCAAAUAAUAACAUACCCUCCAACAUUUCUCCAAUGAAAAUAGGGACGUCUCAUUCCAUGAUGAUACUUUUACCAUUUAUAUCCCACACAUAUUACUGGGUUGCCCCGGCCACUCUAGGCAGCUUCCAACAUAUAUAAUAACACAAUAAAGCAUUAAACAUUAAAAAACAACCUUCCCUAUACAGGAUUGCUUUCAGAUGGCUCAGGAGUCGGGUAACUCCAUACCCUCCAACAUUUUUCCAAUGAAAAUAGGGACAUCCUCAUUUUCGCCAUGAUAAUAGCAAAUGCAAAGGAUAUUUGCAAGGAACUCUCCAUGAGAGAAAGAGAGGGUUAACUCCUCCUGGACACAUCAAUUCUCCCCUGAAAUUGAUCUCCGGGUGUCAUUUUCUUUCAACCAAGUUCAUUUCUAGUUUUGAAGUGCCUUUGGGGACUGGACUUUAAGAAAAAACAUGGGGGAAAGGGAUUUGCAAAAGAAAAUCUUUGAAUCGUGAAGGAUUAAGAAGUUCCCUCCUACAUGGCAAUAUUCUCCUGCAAUAGUGAGAUAAAUUUAAUAAACCUAACCUAUUGCUAAACCUCACCCAAAAAAUAUCCUGAAGGGAUAUACAACUGAGUAAAAAAAAUACAAUAAUGUAAAAACUGAUAUGCAUGCUAAAAACAUAUUUAAUUACCAUGAAAACAAAAACAUCUUUGCCUGGCACUCAAACAAUGACAAGGUUGGUGGCAGGCAGGCAGGCUCUCCUGGGAAGAGCAUUCCAUAAUGUGAGCCCCACACAUCAGCAAUUCAAGGAAAACAUGGAAUUGUGAGUUAUGGGUUUCUACUGUAACACAUAGUUUGGCUUUAGUCUUCUUGAUCAUAAGAUUGCCCAUUUAUCAAUAUUUCUAAUUCUGUUGUUCGGACUGCGAGUGCUUAUGUGGUCAAAGCCUCACCAAGCAUACACAAAGAAGGGGAAACAGUAGGCUUGGAGAAACUCCCAGGUUUGCAAAAGUACCUUUUUAACAAGGGUGGAAUUCUAGGAGUGUGGGAGAAAGCCACCCAAAACAGGCCAAUGGGGCCAACAUGCUCAAUGGCCAUAGAAUGCUGACUGCUGGGACAGGAUGGGGAAAAUGAAAGUGGAAGGAGAUAGGAGGGAAAUGGGUGGGAUAUUGAACAGCAGCACUUCCUAUUUUGUUGCAGGCCCCACUUGUCAAUUGUUGAGAAGCAAGCACAACUGUGUUCCAUAUUUGACUAUGUCAAAACCUAACUCAUCUAUAUGGCUACACAGAAUUUUGUUCUGGAAGUUGGAGUGUGAAGAGAGAUCUACUGACAGUAAAAUCUGUUUAGUCAUUUAGUCGUGUAUGACUCUUCGUGACCCCAUGGACCAGAGCACACCAGGCACUCCUGUCUUCCAUUGCCUCCCGCAGUUUGGCCAAACUCAUGCUGGUAGCUUCGCGAACACUAUCCAACCAUCUCGUCCUCUGUCGUCCCCUUCUCCUUGUGCCCUCCAUCUUCUCCAACAUCAGGGUCUUUUCCAGGGAGUCUUCUCUUCUCAUGAGGUGGCCAAAGUAUUGGAGCCUCAGCUUCAGGAUCUGUACUUCCAGUGAGCACUCAGGGCUGAUUUCCUUCAGAAUGGAUAGGUUUGAUAUUCUUGCAGUCCAUGGGACUCUCAAGAGUCUCCUCCAGCACCAUAAUUCAAAAGCAUCAAUUCUUCGGCGAUCAGCCUUUUUUAUGGUCCAGCUUUUCACAGUAAAAUCUACCAACAGUAAAAGAGCCCAACUUGACCAUAGCAAAGGCCCAUCUAAUCUAGCAUCCUGUUUUCACAUUGUUCAACCAGGUGUUCACCUGGGAAGCUCACAAGCAGGAUUUGAGCAUUCUCCCCUGUACACACUUACCUGGGACAGGAGUGAGUCGUAUUGAAUCUAAUAGGCUUGGUCUUGAGUAGACAUGUAUAGCAUUACAGUUACAUGCUUACUCCAGAGUAAGUCCUACUGGACCACUGAGGCUUACUCUCAGGUAAGAGGGCAUAGGAUUGUAGACUUAUUUAGUGGCUAUUAUGUUUUAUUUCAGAUUUUGAAAACAAAGCAUAGGAUUUGAAAUUGUUUGGCAUGUGUAGAAUGAAAAAGCUAUGCAGAACAGUGAGCCUUGGUUUUGGAGACCACAGCCAAACAAGAAGAAUUCUCAGUCUGCGUCAAGUGGUAAAAUGAUGUUGUUUUUUGAUGCAGAAAGGUGCCUUCAAUUUGUGACACAAUAUAAAAAGAAGAUCUUGUUCCAACCUUGAGGGAGUAUCUCUUUGCUAUUUACAUUCCAUAUAUUCCCCAGUAGAUGUCUGAAUAUAAUAUUGUCCUUAAGAGUGAUUUUGCUGAAAGUUGUCAAAAGAAAUAGCCAAGGUUAUAGAGCAAAAUGUGUAGAUAAUGAACAGCAUCCUGUCAGCUGUAGGCAAACAUGUACUUAAACAAAUGCAUUCGACCCAGAAGGAGGCUUCAGUUUGUUAAAGAGGACACUUUCCAGCUGCGCUAUUUUGAGGAGCACAAUGAUGGCUGCAUUAAAAGAUUUCAAGCUGGCGCCUUAGGCAGCCAAUAGAGGGUUCUGCAUUUCCUCCAAAUAUUAUUUUACUCUAAAGAGUCUCCUUUUAUGGACCAACACAGUAGCUGCUGUAUAUGGUACAAGCUGUGGUUAGCACUGCCAAAGCCAUUAUAAAGCCUAAGUCUGAUGGGAAAAGGCCUUCCGGUUCUGGACCUUUAUUGCACUCUGCUUAGAGACUGCAGCAUUAAGCUGUUGAAAUAUACUGCUGAAAUUCAAGAAAAACACAGGAAAAACCCUAUGCCAAUUCUAGGGGAUGGAGGAGGAAUUUGAUUCAGUUCACAAUUUUUUUUUUUUUUUUUUUUUUAAUCAUAUUUAUUAAAGUUUCCAAAAAUAUAAAAAUACAAAGAAAAAAGACAAAAGAAAAAAGAUGUUUAAAAACCGUACUUUCAUUCCCUACUUUCUGGGACUCCCCCUCCCCCAAUUGUAUUCCCCUUUCCUUAAUUUGGUUCUACAAGCUCUCACUCCCAAUUUAAAGCUUAAUUUGUUUAACCCACUAUCCAGAUUGAAUUGUACAAAUCUUACCACCGUCCCACAUCAUUAACAGAAAAAGAACAAAGAUUUACCCCAAGAUCUACCCCAGUGCCUUCCACAAAUUCCCUUAUUUUUAAACACGUCCGAACAAAGUAAAAUAACAUUCAUAAGUUAUGUAAAGGACUAGAAACUAAGAGAUAAAUAACAAUUCAAAAGAUGGUUACACAGCCUUUGGAUUUCAAAUCUCCCCUUCCCCGGUUUGAAUUCCCCAUGUCCAUCAGUCUAUACAUUAUCAGCUUGGAAGUCUCAUUUCAUGACCAGAUUUCUCCCGAUUCCAUCUUGCCGGUUUUCUUUUAAUUUAUUAAUUUAAAUAAUAUUUAACUUCAAAUGUCCAAUCUAACAAAGGCCUUUAAUUUCCUUGAUCUUUACCACUCCUCCCGUUGUUCUUUCCGUGUCGUAAUCAGUCCUUUAUUCUUCUUAUUCCUCACUUUCUCAGGUUUCUUGUCCUGUUCAGCUGCUAAAACUAGUGUCUUUGCAGAGGUUUGUUAUUCAGGAACAAAAACUUACGUCCAGUCCCUUCCUUUCUUCAAUAAAAAAUUCCAUUGUCUUCCUCUGUAGACAAAAUACUCUUUCAGUUUUGCAGCUUUCCCAGAAGAUAACAAGUCCUGUACGAAUCCCAGGGUAUUUUUCCACUUACGACCGUUCUUGUAGUAUCCCGAAACCCCUCUAGGGGAUUGUAAUAACUUUGUAUCCUCUAAUCCAAAAGUCAAAUUGUUGCUUAUUUUCCAACAGUUUAUAUCCAUAUUAUAGCAAAUUGUAACAAAAUUAACCAGCAAGGUCCUCAUAACAAAGUCCUCUUUAUAUUCUCCAGCUUUGACAGCCACUUUGACAGCUGUCAAAGUCUCCGUCUCUCUUCACCAGGCUCCACGAAUCGCCCCGGUUCCCAGAGGGGGGGUUGCAUUUUUCUUCUCACCCUCCACUCUUCUCCUCCAGCACAUUUCUUUUAAUUUCCCAUCGUGAAAUUAAUGAUUUUUAUCAGAGAUAUACUUCCCUUUGGACCUUGGUUACCCAGUCCUUGUUUUGGAAUGCUUACAUUAGGGGGAUUGACUUCCUUUUAAAUCGCCCCGCUCGUGCCAAAUCCAAAAUUUUGAACCCGGUUUCCCAAUUACUCACGGGUUGUUGUUAAUAGUCCAAAUUUUCAAUGGAAGAAGUCAGCGCUCUCCGUCGAAUGGCAUGCGGCUGCGCUCGGCAGGGAAAGCAGUGGACUCAAAGCACCACGCCACUUCCCGGCACCCGAUCCGAAGCCUUUAAAAAGGCUCCUUCACGAGUCGGGAGGGCGCUAAUGGUGCAAGCCGAGUCACCCAUGUCCACGGACUCCGUGCCCGUGGUUUUAAGGGUCCCCGCGUCGCCGGCGCGGUAGGACCCAGCCCCUGCCGAGCAGACUCCCUCCGGAGCUCGGAGGGAGUCCGCCAUUCGGCGAUGGCGCUAACCCGGAAGUGAUUCAGUUCACAAUUAAAGGCAGACUGCCCUAAUUUGCAGUUUCUGAAACAAAACAAGAACUAACACGGAGCCAUCCUUAGAUAUCUGUAUUGUUUCCAAAUUAUGCAAUGGAGUUCUCAAGCCAAAUAAUGUGUAGAAAAAUGCAUAUACCAUGGUGAAGUGUGCAUAUCAAUGCAUACAGUACUGAAAAUGAGGCAUAAAAAGGCAUUAUAUGCUUUGGGGAAAUGUGUAUAUAUUUGUCAAAAAUGCAAUAAAAUUUAAAAUUAAGAGAAAUCUGCACUAAAACACUGAUGAAUGUUCAUAAGGACUUUAUUAUUUAAAAUUUGGAAACUGAUGUGGAAAUAUGGAAGGAGAAACUGAAAUGAAUAGAUGCACCUGUCCUUAGCCCCUUCUAACACAAUAUGAUUAUUCAAAACCCCUUUUCUCACUGCUGUUCUGUAUAUACAAUGCGCCCCUGCAGCAGGUUGAAGGAGGCAGUGUGGCUUGUUGGUGUCCAGGAUUUCAGCCUCUUCCUUCUCCUGGUUUUACCCUAAUAAUCAAUCAGCAUUCCAUGUUCACUGAGCAUAUUCAAUCCUCAUUUUUCCUAAAUACUUUUGGUACUUCUGCAAGGGGAAACCUUCACUUGGUACCUCUUGUGGGGGAGAUGCUGUGUUUGUCUCAUAAGCAAUGGUAGUCUCAGUCUGAACUUUGGAAAUAGUGGGAAUGCUAUGCUACAGCAACCAUAGGCACCAAUCUAGGUUUGCGGGGAGAAGACAUGCAAGCAGGGGUAGGAAGACUUAUCAAGGGGCUCAAGGAAUGCCUAUAUGUACUUUAAGAUGAAACCACAAAAGCAGUGCAUUUAAAAAUACCAUUUGUUUUAGGGGGUGGGUUAUACUUCUUAACAGACCAGGAAAAUAAACACAUCCAGAUGGCAUCUAUUUGGCAUCUAUGGGCUUCCCAAGAAGUCACCUAGCCAAACACUGAUCAGACUCAGACCUUCUUAGUGUCAGCAAGAUGGCAUCCUGUGCCUUCAGACCACAUUGUAGGAUCCUAUAUAAUUACAUAAUCUACACAGGAUUUUACAGAUGAAAAUCCUUGUAAAGUGAGCACAUUUGAUACGGAAACAAUGUAGCACAGCAAUGGGGUGGGAAAUCCUAAGAACCCUCUAAUUAACCUUCUUAACAACAUGAGGGAAGUUUUCUAAAAGCCACAUUACAAGAUGCAAACAAGUGCAUUUCAGCUUUUGCACCAACUGCAGAUUCUAAGUUUACCAUUAAAAAAACAAAGCCAUUUUUUUCUUUAAUAAAAAAGGCACUUUAUCCAACUCUUAUUACAGUCCAAAAGCAAAUAAUGCUAAUUAAAAAUGCACAUUAAAACAGGACUGAGUGUUUUCACAGGACAUUAUCAAGGUCAGGACAAAAGCAAUCAUCACUACAGAACUGAUCCCUUCAUUCAUUCAUUCAGCAGCGAUCAUGCAGAAUGUCCUUUGAAGCUAUGUCAUAAUAAGGAAUAUGUCAUCUUCCAGCCAAAGUUAAGGUUAUUCCAAUAGGUAUUUUGUUGGCCACUGUGAAGAUGGGAUGCUGGACCAGACUGGACAGUGUCCUAAUCCAGAAAGUUCUUCUUGGGUUCUUAUGGGAGUCCUGCAGGAUGAGCAUUUUUCAUGCUGUUGUUUCCUUGAAGGUGCUCAUUUUGUAUAGCACACUACAAUCAAGAUGGUGACAGCAGCCAAGGAACACCUAGUGCACACACUUCCAUCCAAGCAUAGUAAGAUUCUCCUGGAAAGCACACACAAAUAUGAAACACAAGGGGGUGGGAAUCCACAGAUACCAAUCUGGGUUUUAUCUAUGGAUGCUACUGCAUUUUUCUAUAGCUCUAGCAGCAUCUCAUGUACACUAGGUGAAAUCAGGACAUCGUAAGAGUUAAAAACUAGACAGGAAGUAACUAGACAGGUCCAAAUCCCCAAUCAGCCAUAAAGCCCACUUGGACCAGUCAUGAUACCAUAGCCUAAUUUGUCUCACAGUUCCGUUGUGAGAAUGCAGAAUACCUUGGUUCUCAAACUUAAUCUGUUCUGGAAAUCCUUUCCAAAACCAAAGCAUUCCAAAAUCAAGGCAUGUUUUCCCAUAGAAAGUAAUGCAAAAUGGAUUAAUGCAUUCCAGACUUUUAAAAACAACCCCUAGAACAGCAAUUUAACAUGAAUUUUACUAUCUAACAAGACCAUUGAUCCAUAAAAUGAAAGCUAUAAACAAAGUACUGUAGUCACACAAUCAAUCAGUAGCUGAACUGGGUUCCACACAGUUACAAAAACAAAACAAAAAGAGCCACAAAAACGCAAAAUAAAUAGCAAAAACAGAUAGACCUCAGUGUAACACUCAAAAUGGAGCAUGUUCAGCUUCCAGAAAAAGUUCGCAAACUGGAACACUUACUUCCAGGUUUGUAGUGUUUGGGUUCCAAGUUAUUUGAGUACCAAGGCGUUUGAGAACCAAGGUACCACUGUAACAUGGUGGAGGUGAUAAGAACCAUGUAUUGUCACUUUGAGCUCCUUUGGGGGAAAAUGGUAUUAAAAAUAAUAAUACAAGGCAAAGAAAGUGGAGGAAAACAUAGGAUUCAUAUGUCAAGCUGGAACUUUCCUGAGAGUGGAGAUUCCAUUCAUUUUCGGAAGAUGCAGCCCAGUGUUUCUAAGUUUCUUCCUUUUCUUCCUUGACUUUCCUUUUGGGUGCAAUAAUUACCCAGGCUUGCAAAUGGAUACUACAUCCAAGCUUGUGUAGUUAUGUAAUUAGGCUUUUCAGAGCCAUCCAGGGAAUCUAGACAUGCUCCUUCAUUAAAAGUAAUGACAGAGAUGUGUCAAAAUCCCCAUAGGUGCUUCUGGUAGAACAUCCCAGGAUGAGAGAAGCAUAGACUAAAAACAUGGUUACAGGAAAGGAGCAACCCUGAAACUUCCAAACCAACAUUCCACUAUUGUUUUAAAGCUGAACAAUAUGCCACAUUGUGGGGGGUGAAACCCCCAAAUAGUUUGUACCUUUAACCCCCCCCCCCAGCCUAUUGACAUCUACAAAGAGAUCCAUGUCAUCAGGUUGUGUUUCAAUUUUGGUUCAUGUAUAGAUUAGGCCUAGCAAUAAAAAAAACCAAACCCAGCAUAGGAUGCACAGGUAUAUCACAAUAAGCCAUGGUUAAUGGUUUACUGUGUGUGUGCCUGAGAGGGCAUGCAGGGAAGAAACUAACUACAAUCUCUAGCUUUGUGUUAUGCCUGAAUCAGGGAUUGUGGUUUGUAUCACAAAUCACAGUCAGUAAGCCAAGAACAAACCUUGGCUACAUAUCAUGGUUUGCUGGGAGCAAAACAAACCAUGACCCAUGGUUCAGAUGUAACACAAAUAUGAGGGCUGCGGUUUGUUUUCUCUGUGCACAAGCAAGCAGGAGUGAAAAAAGCCCUCUUAGGCACAUUUACAGUAAACCAUUCACUCCAGUUCACCAUGACAUAUGAAGUGGGUCAAUGAGUCUUGUGGCAGCUUAAAGACUAACAGAUUUAUUGUGAAAUAAGCUUUAGUGGACAGGAAGAACUGGCUGCUGCUGCAAUAAAUCUGUUAAGUUUUUUAGGUGCCACUCUGUGUUGCUGCUGCUGCAACAAACUAGCACAGCUACCACCUCUUGAAUUUGGAAAAGCAGUGUCUCUUACUCAGCCAUCAUCGUUCCUGGUCUAAGGUAGUUAACAGACAAAAGGAUCCCAACUAAAAUUGAUAUUAUUAAAUGGCAACCAGGAUUAGCUACUGCUUUAGAAACUACUUUUGCACAUUCCCAUGGCAAGUUUCCCAUCCCUUGACUCAGAACUCACCACCUGAGUCAAGACCAUUGACAGGUACAUUUCUUAACACCCACUCACCAUAGACAUAAACUGGAGAUGGGAAAACUGCCUUCACAGAGGCCAUGGCGCAAGUGGCAAGUCCCACUUUGAAGUAUGGCUAGGGUGAGUGGGGAUGAACCCAUCACAGUAAUUAGAACAAAGUCUACACUACUACUUAGUUGUAUUCCUUCCCCACUCAACCCCAGUAAUUAUGAUGCAUUUGAACACACAUGUAAAAGAAAGAAAUCAAAUUUAAAUUAGACAAUCAAACAGAAACAGAGAGUCAGACCACUGAUCCAUGUACCUCAGUACUGUCUAUGCCAGCCUUCACUAGCAUGUGUCAUGGGACAGGAGUGAGCUUUGCCUACUGAACAGCAGUCUGAAGGGGGAUAAGGCAGAGUGAUUCCACCAGCAGCUGAUCAAUCUUCACAGAGGAGAAGACACUGACGAGAACCAGCUGGCUGUGGCCAUCUUAAACAGUUCUCAGAAGCAGUCAGAUGCUGGAAACAAGGCCUGUAGUUUCCAGCCCUAUGUUGCUGCUUGCCAUCUGGAUUCCCUGAUCUCUGGACUAGCUCUGUGAUCUUCUGGAUUCCCUGACUUCUGGACUAUCUUGACUUCAUAUGUGGAUUCUGCUCUCAGGCAAGAGUUCCUUGGAGACUCCUAGCCCCUGCUUGCUCAGCAGCAGGACUCAGGUGGGCCAUGACACCAUGGUGCUCUCCAGAUGUUGUGGAUGAAAACACAGUGGCUGGGGUUGAUAUGAGUUGUUGGUCAAAACAUCUGGAGAGCACCAGGUUGACAAAGGUUGGUGUACACUGACAAAGGCAGCAGCUCUCCAGGUUUCAGAUGGGGGUCUUUUUAAUAAUAAUAAUAAUAAUAAUAAUAAUAAUAAUAAUAAUAAUAACAACAAUAAUAAUAAUAAUACCCCCAGCCACUCUGGGCAGCUCCCAGCAGAACACUAAAAAAAAAAUAAACUUCAAACAUUAAAAACUUUUUCAGUCAUAUCUGGAAGGAGAUAGAACCUGGAACCAUUGGCAUGCAAUGUCUAUGCUGUGCCUGUGGGAGCCUUUCUGUUUUUAUAUGAUGAAAUACCUUUUAUGCUUAAAGCUUUUUCUCUGGUCUUAAUCCACAGAGAGCACAGAAAUCCCCCAAUCAACCUCUUGCCCAGUUUCUAACACCCCAACGUAACACUUGGAAGAUAAAUAGAACAAUCUGCUUGAGUUGCAGUGUAUGACGUGAUCCUUUGACCCAGUUUGCUCACUGUUUGUUCCUAGAACAGGCGCCUCCAAUCCACAGGCCUAAAUGAACCAAGCAUGGAUCUUAAUUUAGCACCAAAACAAGAGAUAUUGGUUCUAACCUCCAAAACUAGACAAGAUCAAUGAGUUGGGCAAGGAUUAAAGCUGAAAUGUCCCACUGCUAAAAUAUUGUAAAGAGAUGAAUGAACAAACUUUAAUACUGCAAUGGAUAAAUUAUGUUGGAAUGACACAAAAUAAAGCAAUGCAUUUAAAUGCUUUAAUACAAUAAUAUAUCAGAUGUGGGGCAGGUAAAGAUGCAGGCACUGCCGAUCAAAUUGUGUGAGCAAAGAAGAAUGCAUCACCUGAUGCCAUGGUGAGGCCAGUUGUUCAGUAGGCAGUUGCUCACAUCCACAUAUCAAAAUGGCCUGUAGGGGUUGUGGGAGGUGAGAAUCUUGUGCGCCAGUUGGAAAAGGUUCCCCGACCCAUCUUAUAAUAUCUUCUUGACCUUGGGUGGCACUAUGGGGUGUGGGUCAGGAAGCACAAAAAUGUUCCCAGUGUUAAUAAACUUUAAGGCCGUGAAAGCAAUAUGAGAUUUCCACACCACCUGACCUCAAAGCUGCAUAAGAAGUAGCUCUGUCCAUUAAUGCUGUGCAAAUAUUGCAUUUUCAGUGUGCCACGGUUAAGGAUAAACACGGGAAGGGAAAAUAGAACCUGCCUUCUAAGUGAGUGCUGAAAGAGGGACAAAUUUACUGAACCGUUGGCUAAACAAACAUCCCCCCCCCCCGCCCGAAUUACCCUGUGAAUCACAGCAGAGCAAACUCGGCACAUUUAUUGCUUCGAAUGCUCACAGUCGAGAGGGUGUGUUAGUUCAUGUGUUGUGAGAAACUUUCCAUCAACUUGAUGCUUAUUGGAUCAGAGCCCUGGUGACUAUGAAUAGUCAAUUCCUCCUGUGUUAUUCUCUCCUUCCUCAACAGUACAGAGCAUUUGUGCCAGCCCUACCUUUACAGAGGUAACCAUUGUCGGCAGCAGAUUCUGGUGAUGGGGAAUGGUGGCAAGGUGUUGGAGGGCAGAGCCAUAUGACCUGCCCUCCAGCCCCUAAGCUAGCCCUAUUGCCAUCAGGUGCUGUGAGAAUGCUAUCCUGUCAUGUGAGUUGAACUUUGUUGUUGUUUAGUCAUGUCCGACUCUUCGUGACCCCAUGGACCAGAGCACGCCAAGCACUCCUGUCUUCCACUGCCUCCCGCAGUUUGGUCAGAUUCAUGCUGGUAGCUCGUCCUCUGUCGUCCCCUUCUCCUUGUGCCCUCCAUCUUUCCCAACAUCAGGGUCUUUUCCAGGGAGUCUUCUCUUCUCAUGAGGUGGCCAAAGUAUUGGAGCCUCAGCUUCAGGAUCUGUCCUUCCAGUGAGCACUCAGGGCUGAUUUCCUUCAGAAUGGAGAGGUUUGAUCUUCUUGCAGUCCAUGGGACUCUCAAGAGUCUCCUCCAGUACCAUAAUUCAAAAGCAUCAAUUCUUCGGCGAUCAGCCUUCUUUAUGGUCCAGCUCUCACUUCCAUACA